GCACGGGCUCCGGCUGCGCCUGCCCGCCUGGGGGAGAGUAGGGGCGGCCGGAGGGAGAGCCGCUCGCUGGGCGGCUCGGGGCUUUGUGCGCCGAGCAGUUCCUGCUCCUGCGCAGGCCCGCAGACCUCCGGGGCUGCGGCCCGCAGCUGGGGCUCGGGCGGCGGCUGGGUCGGCCUCCCCAGAAGGGCCUGCGUGCCCCCUCCCCCAUUGUCCCGGCCUCGGGCCGUUUGCGGCUUCCAGGUUGACUUUUUAGGGGGUUGGCUCCUACUCUGCUAGGACUGUGUGAGCGGAGCAUGCGCACUGGAGACGUACGUGUGCGGAGUGUAAGGGGGAGGUGGGUCGGUGGCUCCACAAUGCCGCCCCACGUGCUGCCAGAUUUAAAGAGAAAUGAACCAGCAGUUACCCCUGCUGUCCAACGCCCAGCGUGGCGUUCUCAGACCUGGCUGAUCCUCCCCUCCCCGCUCUGCAGCUGGCAGCUCCUGGCCUUCGGGAGAAGCCCAAGGCUGGAAUGAAGAAAUCUGUUUUUGAAAUAGAUUUCCUAAGACUUUGAAGUGUUAGUUAAAUCACUUUUUCGGCUUCAUAAGGAAGAGGUUGUCAGGGGCUGUUACAGAUUGUAUAAUUAGGUUUAUUAUUAGACCAUGAGCAAGCAGGUUUGGACGAAGUUCUAGAUGCUCAGGGGGAGUGACUUGGAUGCAGAAGUUCUGAUCCAUCCGGAAGACUAUAUUGGAAAAACAACGAAGGAAAAACACAUUUGUUGCAUCUUGUGUUUGCAAACAGACCUUCUGUUUUUUUGUUUUGUUUUGGAGGAAGGAAUUAAGAUUUUCCUUUGUUUCUCAAAUUCUUUAAGGGUAGGUUUUUAUUAUGUAGUGAUUAAGGGUUGUUAAGGUACUAAGAAGUGUUCUCUUACAUAAUAGGGGAUAUAUACAUUUUAAAGGAUGUCAAAGAAGGUAGUGCUAAGAAAGUGUGAUUUAAAGUUCGACCAGUAACAGCGAUAUUUUAAUACUACUUCCUGCCUUGUUUGUGAAAUAUCUCUAGCUUUUGGUGGUCACUUGGUUCAGUUUUGCACUCUUUAUUGACAAGACAAACCUCAAAUAUUGUUAAAACAUUUCCAGAAGCUCUGUAUUAAUGGUUAACUUUCGGAUAGAACACACUAAAAUAUAUUCUAAGGUUAGAGGAGAGAGUGACUUAAUUUGUAAAUUUUCAAGGCUUAUAAUAAAGUUACUUAAAUUAAUUUGCCUUCUUGAUCAGAAACAAUGGAACUAUUCUUAACUUUUCUUAAAAUUUUGAAGGACUUUGACGUGCUCAAAAUGUAUAAAAUAGGCCAAGGCAGUUUAUUAAGUGAAAUGUAAAAGUAGUGAGAUUAUUGUGAAGACUUGAUAACUACAAAAUAAAAUAAAGGCCCUGUUGUAUUUUAGUAGUAUGUUGUUUGAGCUUUGUGGUACUUAAAUAUCAUUUGAAAACAGGAAAGAAUGGUAAACUGUAAUCCCUUGAGCUUGUCUAGAGAGAACAUUUGAUAAUAAAUGUUUUAAAAGCCUUGAAAUGAGUAGAUAGGCAAACCUGUAAGGCAUUCUGUCUGCUGAAUUUCAGAAACAAUGGCUACUUUAUGGAGCCCCUCGUCUUCUAGCCCUAGAUUUUACUUCAUUACUUGUGUGGAGAAUUUAGUGUCUGUGUGUUUUGUUUUUGUAAAUGUAAUGAAGAACCUGGAUACUUUGAGAGCUGUGUAAAAUGGUUCUUUAGUUUGCAGGGUUUCUCCACCUUGGCACUACUGACAUUUUGGGCCAGAUUUCUUUUUGCAGGGGGCUGGAUUGUUCAUUAUAGCAUGUUUAGCAGCAUUCCUGGCUUCUACCCACUAGACAGCAGUAGUAUUACUUCCCACUCCCCACUCCCGUUUGUGACAGCCAAGAAUGUCUCCAUUGCCAAAUGUCCCCUGAGGGACAGAAGUGUUUCUGGUUGAAAACCACGGGUUAAUAAUACAUAAGGUGUCUUAGUGAAGACCGUUAUGGCUCCUGUGAAGCAGGUAAGAACAACUAACAUUCAUGAAAUCAGAUAGGUCUUGUAUUUCUUUGCAGAUAUUAUUAGAGUGUGACUUACUUUGCGAAUUCAGUAGUGGUAAUUCAGCUUUUCCAAUGCAUUAUGCUGAGUACUAAGAAAUCCCAUAGCACAAGAAACGAUUUUAAAAAGUGGUUAAAAAUGCAGAGUACAGAAGGGUAUAACCGGAACCUGUUGUGGUUGAGUCGAUUCCAACCCUUGAUGGAACUGCCCCAUAGAGUUGCCAAGGAGCAACUGGUGGAUUUGAACUGCUGACCUUUUGGUUAGCAGCUGUAGGACUAACCACUACGCCACCAGGGUUUCCAGCCCAAAGGUAUGGUGAUUUAUAAAUGUCUUUUCAUCUCUGACCCCCAAGUUGUUUUCAUGGAAACAGCUGUCAUUGACACCUUUUUUGUGUGCCUUUUCAGAGAGAUUUUGGUGUGCAUGUUAACAUGAGUUACCGUUUACUGGGGAUAAUAUGUACCAUACACUGCACUGAGCAGUUUAUAUAUAUUAUGUCAUUUAAUCUUCCCCAUAAGGAAAUGGAGGCUUAGAGAGGUUAAGUGAUUUGCCCAUCACAUAGAUAGUAUGUGUUACUGCUGGAGUCAAAUUCAGGGUCUUCUUGUUAUUGAGACUAUGUUGUUCUAAGGGAGAUUUCUUUUUAUUUUUUUUAUUGUGCUUUAAGUGGAAGUUUACAGUUUGCAUCAGUUUCUCAUACAAAAACUUAUACACACAUUGUCAUGUGACCCUAGUUGCUCUCCCUAUAGUGUGAUAGCACAUUCCUCCUCCCCACCUUGUAUUUCUCCUUCUCCUGUCCAUUCAACCAGCUCCUGUCCCUCUUUGCCUUGUCGUCUCGCCUCUGGACAGCACCUGCCCUCAUGUGUCUACCUAAGUGAGAUUUUUAAGGUAAUUAUACAAAGUAUAUUUUAACAAUUGUCAGCAUAAGACCAUCAUUCUGCAGCAUCGAGGAAAAUGCCUUUGAAUUUAAUACUGGAAACUAAAGGUAGUGCUGAGCUUUUUGGUGUUGGCAGUAACUCUGAGAAAAAAAAAUUGGACUAAUUAGACUUUUUCCCUACUCUAAACUUACUAAAUUUUACUAUAUAACAAGCAAGAGGAAGUUUUUUUUAAAAAAGAUGAUUUGCAUUUUUAUUAUUUUUAAUGUCAAGAACAUAGUUUUCGUUAGUUACGCUUUCAUAGACAACUGUCAUUCUAGAAGUAAAAGAAUUUUUUUUAAGCAAUAGGAAUAAAAUAAUCGAACUUCUUUUACUGUAGAAAUCUUAUGUCUUUUAAACUAAUUUGGAAAAUCCCCAAAUCUCUGGCUCCCUGGCUGCCCCUGUAAACAGGUUGGUGUAAUGGGUUAGUGGUUCUCAGACUUAAGUGUGCAAUAGAAUCAUCUGGAGAGUCUUAAAAAUACAGAUUCCUGGCCUCCAACCCAUCUGCAUGUCUCGAUGGGGUCCAGGAAUCCAAUCUUACAGCAGUGCUUCUGGCGAUUCUGAAACUGGUGGUUCUGAGCCACACUGUAAGGUCCUCAUGCUUUGUUUCCUUUUUUUCCUGGAGGACCACCUGCAGGUUAGCCCAGUUCUCAGCUUUUGUGAUGCUCUGUGUUUCCUAAGCAGUCCUGGUGUUAAUAGGAAAUUCAAAGAAUACUCUUCAAGGGAGGCGUUAGAAAGAUUUAAUGCUUCUUACUGGCCCUUCUGGUGUCCUGGUGGUGCAGUGGUUAAGAGCUCAGCUGAUAAGCAAAAGGUCAACUGUUGGAAUCCACCAGCCGCUCCUUGGAAACCUUCUGGGGCAGUUCUGCUCUGCUCUAUGGGGUUGCUGUGAGUUGGAAUUGAUUCGAUGGCAAUCGUUUUAUUGGCCAUUCUAUAAUAUAUUGGCACUCUGACAUAUAAUCUCGUUAACAGCCUCAAACUCAGCGGAAAUAGAGUAAUUGAUUAUUGACCAGGGACAACCUAGUAGUGGAAGAGUCUGAGUGAUAAGCAUUUUAUUAAGAGUUGUUAACCCACAUAUUUAGAAAUGGAAGAAAAGUCUAAAAGUAAGUUUACAUCAAACUGCUCAUUUAACAAAGUUUCGGAAUUUUUACGGAUGGCAGUCUUACCGUUGAGGGAACAAUACAGCUGCUACGUAUUGUACUGAAUGUUCUGUCAGAAAAAAUGCGUAAAUGAAACAAACGUUUUGGUGGGGGGCAUCAGGUGAUUUACAAUUUCUGUACUUAAAGGAAGGAACCCUGGUGGCAUAGUGCUUAAGUGCUUAGCUGUUAACUGAAAAGUUGGCGGUUCCAACCUGUCAGCUGCUCCUUGGGAGAAAGAUGUGGCUGUCAGCUUCUGUAAAGAUUACAGCGUUGGAACCUCAUUGGGGCAGUUCUGCUCUGUCCUGUAGGGUCACUGUGACUCAAAAUCAACUUGAUGGCUGUGGAUUUUUGGAUAAUUAAGGGAGCACUGAGGAAUUAUUUCCUCUGAUGUGUUAUAGAAUCCAAAGUAGUCUUAAGUUCACUUUUUAGUGAAUAAGUGAAAUUUUCUUAACAUUAAAGAGUAAAAUAUUUAAAGUUAUAAUUUCUCUAGUUCAGUGAACCUUUUUGAUAAUGAAUUUUUCAUAAACAGUUUAAUUUUCUAUAAAUAUUUCAGAAUGAAACAUACUUUCUACAUCAGUCUUUUGUGAUAGAUGACCUCAUUUCCUAAAUAUGUACACAUACAUAUAUAUUUGAGUAUAUUAAAAUGUUGAAGUAAACUCUACUAUUUGUAGAUAUUUGUUUAUUGAUAUAGUAGUAUGAUCUGUAUUACUUUUUAUAAUGUAGUACCAAAGCAUAUGGUUUUGCUAUAUAGUUUUAAGUUAGUAAACAUAUUUAAGUUAGUAAACGUUUAUUUUGUGAUGCUUCUACAUAUAUAGUUGUGAAAUUAGAUGCCUUGAUUAUUAAUAGGGUGAGGUCUAAUGUGGAAAAAUCUGAUGAUCCAGUGAAUAAAACCCACUGUAGUUGAGUUGAUUCUGACUCAUAGCGACCCUGUGGGACAGGGUAGAAGUGCCUCGGAGGACCUUUUUUUUUUUUUUGUUUUAAAUCUUUACAGAAGCAGACUGCUACAUCUUUCUCCCUCAGAGCUGCAGGUGGGUUCGACGCUUCGACUUUCAGUUAAUCCGGUGACUUCCACUAUGUCGUUCUUGCCUUUUGACUUCCUUUUCUGAGGUGAAGAGUGCUCAAUUGCAGUAUCUAGAUGAGUUUUAAUCGUAGGGUUAUUUGGUUUUGGGUACUUAAGUGCAAAAAAUUUUGGGGGGAGGGUAUGGUGAUUUCUGUUAAACUGUAGUGUUAGGCAUGUUAUAAGCGUGCAAAAUGUUAAAUGUUAUUUUGUUUUAAUGGGCUUGGUUCAGUUUAACAAAAAAAUAAGACAAAAACCAAACCUGCUGCCAUCGAGCGGAUUUCGACUCGUAGCACCGCUAUAGGACAGAGUAGAACUGCCCCAUAGGGUUUAAAAGGCUGUAAAUCUUUUUGGAAGCACACUGCCACAUCUUUUCUCCUGUGGAGCAGCUGGUGGGUUCAGACUGCCAACUUUUUGGUUAGCAGUUGAGUGCUUACACUGUGCCACCAGGGCUUGGUUCAAUUUAGGAUGAAGAAUUUGGCAUUUCUUAAUUAUUGAGAUCCAAUUUUUUUUUUUCUAUUUUUGUUAGAAUUUAGAGCACUAGAUCACCUCCAAGGAUCUUUGUGUCAUCUUUCACUGAUUCUUAGGAAAUAAAAUUUAAAAUAACUUUUCAGACAAGAAAACAUAAUAUAUGCUUAUGAAAACAGUCUGUCAAGGGAAACGUAUAGUUAUAUCAAUGGAUGGCAUUUCAGGUACAGAGAAGCACAAAUAGGAAAAAGAAAACGUUUUCCAAAUUUUGGUAAUGAACAUGAACUACUGGUAUGAACACAUAAACGAGAGUGGGGAAUUAACUGUAUUUUCAACAAAUAAUAUAUUUAAAUUUUUUAAUGUUUAAAUACCUUAUUUUAAACUUUUUCUCCUAGUGUGAGAUAGGCUUAUUUGAGUAAAUCAGAAAUUUUCCUUGGUGCUGUUCCAUUGGUAGAGUCUGGCCCUCAGAGAAACUGUUGAAAAAAUAAUUCGUUGUUGUACCAAUAUAUACCUCUUUUUUAUGAAGUUCUAGAAAAUUUGUGAAAAGUUAAUUUUUGUAAGUGGAAGUAUUUUAUAUUUAUGUUUUACAUCAAUUUCAAUUAACUUAAAAAGAAAAAUUGGCUACCGCUCUUUUUGUGCUUUUGUGAGCCCUUUUUGUCAACUAAUUAAAAAGAAACAAACAAAAAACUCCAAAAAACCAGUUGUAAAGUCAGUUCUGACUCAUGGUGACCCCAUGUGUGUCAGACUGGAACAGUGCUGGACGGAGCUUUUAAUGGCUGAUUUUUGGGGAAGUAGAUCACCUGGCUUUUCUUUUGAGGUGCCUCUGGGUGUACUGGAACCUCCAACCUUCUGAUUAGCAACCGAACUCUAACUGUGGGCACCACUCAGGGGCUCUUCCAUUAGUUAGGGAUAUGUUAAAAAUAUAAACAACAAACCCGCCGCCAUUGACUCUACUCCAACUCGUAAUGACCCAAUAGGACAGAGUAGAACUGCCCCCAUAGGAUUUCCCAGGUUGUAAAUAUGUUUUUCUCAAAGGAAAUGUUAUUUUUAUUAUUGAAUUACCUGUAGUAUAAAACCAAGCCCGUUGCUGUCAAGUCAGUUCUGACUCAUAGUGACCUUAUGGGACAGAGUAGAACUGCCCCAUAGGGUUCCCAAGGGGCAGCUAGUGGGUUUGAACUGCCGGCGUUUUGGUUAGCAGGCAUAAGUCUUAACCACUGCGCCAUUAGGGCUGCUAUCUGUAGUAUAACCCAUUGCCGUCCAGUUGAUUCUGACUCAUAACGACCCUGUAGGACAGAGUACAACUGCGUCAUAGAGUUUCCAAGGAGCGCCUGGUAGAUUUGAACUGCUGACCUUUUGUUCAGCUGCAUAGCUCUUAACCACUACGUCACCAGGGUUUCCAUCUAUAGUAUAGCAUUAUCUAAAAUUUUUUAUAAUACAUAUUCAUUUCGUGCAUUUAUUUUAAAGGUAAUGACUUGUUUUUCCUUAGAAACCAAUUUUCAAUCUCUUUUAUGCAUAACAGCUUCAAAUUAUCAUUCUUUAUUUUUUUUAGCAUUUUUUUUCCAAUUGUGUUUUAAGUAAAAGUUUACAGCGCGAAUUAGUUUUUCAUUCAAAAAUUUAUACACAAAUUGUUUUGCGACAUUGGUUGCAAUCCCUGCAAUAUGGCAGCCCUCUCCCUCUUUCACUUUCCAUUCUGGGUUCUCUGUGUCCAUUUGUCUGGUUUUCCUGUUCCUGUCUGCCUUCUCAUCUUUGCUUUUGGGCAGAUGUUGCCCAUUUGACUGAACUAAGAAGUACAUUCCUCAUGUGUGUUAUUGUUUGUUUUUAUAGGCCUGUCUAACCUUUGGCUGAAAGGUGGACUUUCAGGAGUGGCUUCAGUUCUGCCUUAGCAGAGCGUCCAGGGGACAUAGUCUGGGGAGGGGGGGGUCCUCCAGAGUCUGUCAGACCAGUAAUUCUGGUCUUUUUUGUGUGAAUUUGCAUUUUGUUCUACGUUUUCUUCUGCUCUAUCCAGGACCCUCUAUUGUGAUCCCUGUCAGAGUGGUUGUAAGGCUUGUAAAUAGUUUACAGAAGCGGACUGCCACGUUUUUCUCCUGUGAAGUGGCUGGUGUGUUCAAACUGCUGACCUUUUGGUUAGCAGCUGAGCACUGUGCCACCAGGGCUCCUUAUGAACAAAAAGAACCUAUUUAAACUUUUACCAAGCAGCUAUUUUGGCUUUAUUCUUAUAAAAUGAACGUUGGUUUCAGAGAGCAAUUUAUCAAAUGGAGAUUAGUUUUAAAUGUCCUUAAUGUGAGGAGACACUCUCUGUUUUGAUUUGCUUCGAAAGUGCGUACUUUAAUUUCAUUAUCAUUUUCUUAUUCUUAUGUAAAUUGUGCUUUUUUCAAAAAAAUUGUGAUUUUGGUGAAAGUCUACAGUGCAAAUGAGUUUCUCAUUCAGAAACUUAUGCACAAAUUGUUUUGUGACAUUGGUUUUAAUCCCUGCUUUGUCUCAGCACUCUCGCCCUUUCCCAUUCCACCCAGGGUUCCCCAAAGGUGUACUUUGCAGGGUUUCUAUUUCAAGACAAAGAGUUCUUAGAUAUGACACCAAAAGCAUAAUCUAUAAAAGGAAAUACUGAUAAACUGGAUUUAAUUAAAAACAAAACAAAAACUUGUUUUAUUAAAGACCCUGUUAAGAGAUGAAAAGACAAGCUACAAACUGGAAGAAAAUAUUUGCAAACCAUAUAUUUGACAAAAGAUUGUAUGUAGAAUAUAUCGAGAACUCUCAACAGUAAAAAAAAAAAAAAAAAGUCCAAUUAGAAAAUGGGCAAAAGACAUGAAUAGACAUUUCACUGAAGAGGGUAUAUAUACAUGGCAGGGAAGUAAAUGGAAAAAUAUUUAGUAUCGUUAGAUGAUGUUGUUAACUGCCAUAGAGUUGACCUCUGACUCACGGUGACCCCAGGUUGUCAAGCCAGCUCCAAUUCAUGGUGACCUUGUGCAUAACAGAAUGAAACACAGCUAGUCCUGUACCAUCUUCAUGAUCCUUGGUAUGUUUAAGUCCAUUGUUGUGGCGGUUGUUUUAGUCCAUCUCAUUGAGGGUUUCCUGCGUUUUCCUGAUAGUCUGUUUCUUUACUAAACAUGAUGUCCUUUUCUAGUGAUUGGUCUUCCCUGAUUACAUGUCAAAAUAAGCUAGUUUUGCCAUCCUUGCUUCUAAGGAGCAUUUUGAUUGUAUUUAUUCUAAGACUGAUUUGUUUGCUUUUCUGGCAGUUGGUAUAUUCCGUAUUCUUCCCAACACAGUUCUUCAGUAUUUUUCAUUGUCUAGCUUUCACAUCCAUAUGAAAAGACCAUGUCUUGGGUCAGGCGUACCUUAGUUAUCAAAGCGACAUCUUUUGUUUUUUAAAACUUUUUAAAGUGGUAUUUUUUUGCAGAUUUGACCAGUGCAAUAUGUUGUUUGAUUUCUUGAUUGCUGCUUCACCAGACGUUGAUUGUUGAUUCAAGUAGCAUGACAUCAUUGACAGCUUCAGUUUUUCUCCAUUUGUCAUGGUGUUAUUUAUAGGUCCAGUUGUGAGAAUUUCUGUUUUCUUCAUGUUCAGGCGUAAGCCAUAUGGAAGGCUGUAGUCUUUGAUCUUCAUCAGUAAGUGCUUCAAGUUGUGUUCAUUUUCAGCAUGCAAGGUUGUGUCAUCUGCACACUGUAGGUUGUUAAUGAGUCUUCCUAAAUUCUGAUGCCACAUUCGUUUUGAUAUAGUUCAGCUCUGAUUCUUUGUUCAGCUUACAAAACCUGUAUGCAAACAUUCAUAAUAGCUUUAUUAGUAAUAGCCCAAAACUGGAAAUGACCCAGAUGUCCUUCAGCAGGUUUAUGGUUAAUCCAUAUCAAAUAAUAUUAGUCAGCAACAAAAGGAACAAACUAUGAAUACACAAAACAACUUGAAUGAUCUCAAGGGAAUUGUGCUAAAUAACAAAAAGCAGAUCUCAAGAGGUUAUAUACUUUGUGAGUCCGUUUAUAAAACAUUCUUAAAAUGACACUAUUAUAGAGAUGGGUAAUAGAUUGGUGGUUUCCAGGGGUUAGGGACAGGAGGGCCGUGUGGCUGUAAGGUGGUAGCAUGAGAGAUCUUUGUGGUGAUAGAAUAGUUUUGUAUUUUGAUUGUGGUUACACAGAUUUACAAAUAGAUAAAAUUGCAUAGAGCUAUGCAUACACACACAAACGAAUGAUGAAAUCCACAAUCUCUGUGGAUUUUUACCAGUGUCAGUUUCUUUUUUUUUAAAUAAUUUUUAUUGUGCUUUAAGUGAAAGUUUACAAAUCAAGUCAGUCUGUCACAUAUAAGCUUAUAUACACCUUACUCCAUACUCCCAUUUACUCUCUCCCCAAUGAGUCAGCCCGCUCCCUUCUUCCAGUCUCUCCUUUCAUGACUGUUUUGCCAGUUUCUAACCCUCUCUACCCUCCCAUCUCCCCUCCAGACAGGAGAUGCCAAUACGGUCUCAAGUGUCCACCUGAUACAAGUAGCUCACUCUUCAUCGGCAUCUCUCUCCAGCCCAUUGUCCAGUCCCUUCCAUGGGUGAUGAGUAGUCUUCGGGAAUGGUUCCCGUUCUGGGCCAACAGAAGGUUUGGGGACCAUGACAGCUGGGAUUCUUCUAGUCUCAGUCAGAUCAUUAAGUCUGGUCUUUUUAUGAGAAUUUGGGGUCUGCAUCCCACUGUUCUCCUGCUCCCUCAGGAGUUCUCUGUUGUGCUCCCUGUCAGGGCAGUCAUCGGUUGUGGCUGGGCACCAUCUAGUUCUUUUGGUCUCAGGAUGAUAUAAGUCUCUGGUUCAUGUGGCCCUUUCUGUCUCUUGGGCUCAUAGUUAUCGUGUGACCUUGGUGUUCUUCAUUCUCCUUUGAUCCAGGUGGGUUGAGACCAACUGAUGGAUCUCAGAUGGCCGCUUGCUAGCAUUUAAGACCCCAGCAGUGUCAGUUUCUUGGGUUUGAUAUUGUACUAUGGUUAUGUACAAUAGCAUUGGGGAAAACUGAGUAAAGUGUAUAGGAGACCUCUCAAUACUGUUUUUUUUUUUUUUUUUGCAUUAUCCUGUGAAUCUAUAUUUCAAAAUAAAAGUAAAAAGUUACUUGCAACCGAAGCAUUCCAAUCAAGCAGUUUUUCAAGUGGAGAACUCUUAUUUUAAACUUAUUGUUCAUUGUUAAAACUUAGCAACAUAUACUUGCCAUAUUAACACUCCCAAGGAACAGGAAGUUGAAAUAGAGAUCUCUGUGGUUUGAGUUAGAGAUUCUACCUGAAUUUAAAAUAGUUCUUACUUAAAUUUCUUGUGUUGUCAUUUGGAAAGUGGAAGAAAAAGUCAGUAUAAAAGUUCAUUUAUUGAGCCCUUAUAUGCAGUGAAAUUGAGAAAUGCUGGGUGGGUACAAAGAUAAUUAAUCUAGUAUCCCUACUUUUAGGUGUUACAGUUAGUAGGGGUUGAUGGACAUUUAUGCAAAGUUAUAAUAUAGUAUAAGGGAUACACACAUGUUCAAGGAACAGAAGGUGGAAUUGAGGAAGGAGUGAUCAAUUGUGGGUGAGUUCAAGGAGAUCACGGAAAGCUUCAUAGGAAGAGGACUGUAUUUAGGCACAGCAGAAUCAAGAUGUCAGUUCUCUUAAGAGCAUGAGGUUAUAUACUUGUUUUUUAAAAAAACAUUUCAUUUAUUAGAUACAGAGGAAACUAGUUAGAAUCGUGCAUGACAGAAAUCUAAAGUUGACAGAUUUAAAACAAACAGGUGUUUCUGAGAGGCAGCUAACCCUGUUGAAGAUAUAUAUAGUAAGUAAAUUUCCAAGAAAAUAGUGUGAACUCAAGCCUUAAGAGAUGGCAACAGUUGGUAAUUAAAAAAAAAAAAAAUUAAGGACAUAAGCCUGCUCAGAAAGGAAACUUAAAUCACUAAAUUAAAUGCCUGUUACAUGUGCUUUGUGAUCCUAACACUUUCCAUACAUGGCUAUAUUCAGUUCUCACGGCAAACCUUUGAGGUAAAUAUUACCACCUUAAAAAAAAAGUUUUUUUUUUUUCUUGAGAUAAGGAAACUGAGGUUCAGAGAAAUGACCAGUUUUCCCAAGCUAAACCUGCUGAACGUUGAUGGAGCCGCUGGCAAAAAUGGGAUCUGCCUGCUGAUGAAACCCGAACCUUUUACCAGAGUGGUUUCUUUAACAAUUUGGGGGUUCUUAGGCUCCUUUGGGGUCUACUUAAUGGCAUUGGCUUUGGUUUUUUUUGGUAGGUGCCUUUGAGAAUCUGUUAAGUGUUGUAAACCUUCUGAGAAAGCACACACGCACAAUUUGAUGCCUAUUUUGUGUGCUAUAGGGACCAAAUGAAUAAGAUAAUUGCAUUCGUAUUCCAGGAACUUGUAGUCUGUAGAAAAUAAUAUGUUCCAUAAAAAAGCCACAUUAUGGUGUUACAGAAAGUCAGGGAAAGCUCAUUUCUACCUGUGUGGUUCACUGACAGCUUUGAGGGGGAGUUGGUGGUAUUUGUGCCAGACCUUAAAAGGGUCUGUAAACUUUGAUCACAUGGAAAUAAAAGAGUGCUUGUGGCUGAGGGAGGAGAACAAACCAGACAGAAAGCUUGUGCUUGAAAUAGUCAGUGUGGUUGGAGUACACGAUGAGCUGAACUAAUGGGAAAGCAGUGGUUGCAAACAAACACCAAAGGUGGGAAAUCUUAAAAACUGCUGGGCUGUAGAAUUCUGUUGGGGGGGGGGCAGUGACAAGAUCAAAACUGGGCUUUGGACCAGUGUUUUGCAAAUUAACUGUGUUUAAAGACUAACUUUUUGAAAUUUCCGAUCCAUUAUGAACUGAUAUUUUGAAAACCGAUAAAAAUGAAUUCUUAGAAAAAUGAAAUGAAAAACGUAAACUCGAGGGCACAUUUUAUAAUAUUCUUCACAUAUAAACGCAAAACCAAACCUACUGCUUUUGAAUCGAUUCCGACACAUAGCAACUCUAGAGGACAGAGUUAGAACUGCCCCAUAGGGUUCCUGGUGGAUUUGCACUGCUGACCUUUUGAGUAGCAGCCAUAUUUGUUAACCACUGUGCCACUAGGGCUUCAUCAGAUAUAAAAUGUCAGAUUGCUGUAAGAGUUUCUAAACGCUUACUCUAAUUUGUCCUUGCUGUGUUGUUGACCGGUAAUAACUUGAUGGCUUGGUACCAGUUUAUGGGUCCCACUUUGAGUAAAACCGUAUUGGACAGGGUGGAAAAUGACAUUUAGUUAGACUACAUUCUCUCCAUGAAGGCAGAGAUUUUUGGUGUUGAAUAUUCACAGUUAACUUUUCACAGUUAACCUUCAGGGGUGACUGAAACAUAGCAGGGAAUCAAUACAUAUUGAUUGAUUGGAUAAGAACUACCAUACUAGAUUUUUUCCCCCCUAAGGGCAAAAAAAAAAAAAGAUUUUUUUUUUUUUUAAGGACUUAAGCACACGUGAACUAAAUCCUUUAAGGUAGAAAGUAAAAAAAAAUAGAACACUUCCAUUCAGUAAACAUUUAACUCCAUCUACAUGCCAGGCCUAGUAGGCCUAGGCCCUAGGGAUAUAAAGAUUCACUAGGGAAACAGAUUUCAUGGUACAAUCCCUGGCUUCAUGUUCUGGUGGGGAAGGUAGACUUUUGUAAACAAAUACUGGUUGCUAAUUACAAUAUGGAUACCAUAAUAGUAUAGACGUUCUCCCACAUUUUAGCAUGCUUUUCCCCAUUGGCUUGUCUGAAGUGCAGCUUUGGUCAAGUGAUACUUGUUGGAACACUUUCAGUGUCUCAGCAAGGUCCUUGUUUUUCCCGCAUAGCAGUUUCUUAAUAGCCAGCUUGAUUCUACCAUGACUGUACUGCUUUUUUUUUUUUUAACUCCUUAUAAUUUUAAAACUUUUUUAUUUUUUUGUGUUUUCAAAGUUUCUCUCUGAUCCCCUGCCUUAGGCUUCCUACCUAGGUAGGUGGCAGAUUACCUUUUCCAGAAGAGGAAAUUAGUUUAUUCACAGCGGCACAACUCAGACGACUAGCCUUCAUAAAUACCUAUUUUUUUUUUUUAGCUGUAUUUAAAUUAGAUCUACAUAAACCAAAAAAAAAAAAAAAACCAAACCCACUGCCGUCGAGUAGAUUCUGACUCAUAGUGACUCUAUAGGACAGAGUAGAACUGCCCCAUAGAGUUUCCAACAAGUGACUGGUGGAUUUGAAUUGCCAACCUUUUGGUUAGCACCUGCAGCACUUAACUGCUUUGCCACCAGGGGUUCCAGAUCUACAUAGAAAAUGUAAAAAUUAGUGUUGAUCCAGUUAUCCCUUUCCUAAUUAGGUCCUAGGAUACCUGUGGGGUCAUGUUCUUUUGACUUUUUCACGUUUAUAGGGGGUGAGUCAGAUGUAUUUAAAAUGAAUAUCCAGUAACCUAAAUCAAGAUAUUCUAGAAGAAAAUGAAAUAUAUAUGUUUUAAAAUAAUUUUUUAAAUUACAAAUGAAGAUUUUUAUUCCAGAAUAAAUUACAAAUGAACAUGUUUAUUGCAGAAUCUUGGAAAAACAAAAAUGUAUAUAGAUGAUAUAAAUAUCAGCUAUCUCUUUGCUACCUCUGUUAACAUUGGGUCAUAUUUUUUACUACAUUUUACCUUUCUGAUAAACUGAAAUUCUGAAAAAAGAACCUUCAGUGUUAAAAAUUUUAGUAAAAAUCAUACACUUUGAGGUUGACUCGUCAAAAUUCCUUUUACGUACUCAAUUCUCUUUAAGAAACAUAAAGCAAAAUCAAGAAGUUGUUUUCUCAAAUUUAUUUAGCAAGUAAAUGGCGAAACUAGAUUCCAAACUUGGGCCACCAUACUUCAAAGACAAUUUUUUUUUUUUUUUAAUCCAGAGUGUAUUGUUCUUUAAACUCUAAAAUCUUUGUGAUUUUGGAAAGGAAGCUACUCUUGGCUCAUGGCUGCACUUGAUACUUCGAGUUUGUCUAUUUCUCAUCUUCUGUCCUUUGGGAUUCUAAAACUAUUUUCUAUUGCAAGGCUUACUAUAUAGAGAGGAUUGUGGGCAUUACUCUAAGACCUUUCCUUACUGUGGACUCUGAGGCCUCCUUACGUUAACUCUUUAACCCUAGGUAAGUAGGAGAUAAUACUGUCUUUUUUGUGUUUAGCAGUGUACAGGGUGGUUUAUAUCAUCAUCAUUAGAAGUCUAGGACAUCAGGCUGGAAACCUUUAUGGUAUGGUAGUUUCUCUGGGGAAAUAGUGCAUUUUCAGUGUCUUCUCCAGUUGUUUCUACAUCUCUCCCUUAGGAUUAUACCUUUGCUGCUACUUCAGCCCUUAACAUUUCCCUGGUGGAAACUGAAAAAACAAAACAAAACAAAAAAACUGUCAUUCCAGUUUGGCUUAUGUUUAACUCUUACAGGUGCAGCAGUGGCACAGAUGAGGAAAUUUUGCUGUCUGCCACCCUCUUCAGGGUCCAAGGCAUAUGGUAUGGCUGUUGGGGAAAUAGUACCACUAUGAUAAUCUUUUUUUUUCCCCCCACUUUUAAAUAAACUUUUAGUUUUAGAAUUACAGAAAAAUUGUGAAGAUAGUACAGAGAGUUCCUAUACACCCUGCACUCACUUUCCCUUAUUAACAUCUUAUAUUAGUGUGGUACGUUUGUCACAAUUAAUGAACCAGUGUUGAUAUGUUAUUAUUAACUGAGUUCAUAUCUCUUUAUUCUCAUAUUGUCCACUUCCUUUCCAGAUUAAGACUUGGUCUUCAGCCAUGCCGUUUUUGCUUAGACUCUCCAGUUUAAUUGUACGCAUUUGGACAAUCGUAUUUCUAAUUUUCAAGCCCUUAGUCUCUCCUUUUUUUCCUACAGCAGUCUUUUUUUUUUUCGUAGAACCAAUUUCUGGUUUGGUUGAUUCUUGAUUUUGUUUAUUUCUGCUCUGAUCGUUGUUAUUUUCUUUCUUGUAGGUGUAGGCUUAGUUUGCUCUUCUCUUUCUAGUUUCCUGGGAUUGUUGAGUUAGGCUGGUGAUUUGCGAUCCUCUUUUUUCAUGUAGGCAUUUAUUGCUGUAAAUUUCCCUCUGAGUACUCCCUUCGUUGCAUGUCAUAAGGUUUGGUAUGUGUUUAUAUUUACAUUUGACUAAGAAAUUUUUGAUUUUUCUUGACCCAUUGGUCGUUUAAUAGUGAGAUGUUUAAUUUCCAUAUGUUUGUGUGUUUGCCAGUUUUUGUUGCUGUUGAGCUCUAGCUUCACUCCAUUGUGGUCAGAGAAAAUACUUUGUAUGAUUGUAUUCUUUUAAGAAUUUCAAGACUUGCUUUGUGACCUAACAUAUGGUCUGUUCUAGAGAAUGAUCCAUAUGCACUGGGGUAGAAUGUAUAUUGUGCUGUUGUUGAGUGGAGUGUUCUCUAUACAUCUGUUAAGUCUUGUUGGUUUAUAGUGUUAUUCAGGUUCUCUGUUUCCUUGUCGAUCUUUCUAGAUGUUCUGUCCAGUAUUGAAAGUGGUACAUUGAAGUCUCCAGCUAUUGUGGUGCUUCCUUCAAUUCUAUCAGUGUUUAUGUAUUUAAGUGCUCCGACGUUGGGUGCUGUCUUAAGCUGAACUCUCUAGAGAAGCAAAACCAGUAAAGUUUAUUAGCAUAUAUACGGAGAGAUUUAUAUUAAAUGGUUCACGCAGUUGUCGAGGCUGGAAUGUCCCAAGUCGCGGGCCAGGUUGGAGGUUUCUCCUGAUUCACGUAGCCACGGGGGCUGGCAAACCCAAGAUCAUCAAGUCAGGCAGCAGGGCUCCGAGUCACAGGCUGUGAAGACUGAUGAACCCCAAAAUCAGCAGGCAAGAUGUCAGGUAAGCUGCUAGCUUAAGUCCCAAGAACUGGAAGUCAGACAAACAGGAGCCAGCUGCAGGAUCCAGAGUGAGCAAAAGCCCAUGAGCCUUGCCAGAAAGUCCACCUAUACUAGAUGCAGGCCACAUGCCUGAGGAAAUUCCCUUUCAAUUGAUUAGCUGCUCAUAGCAGAUUGCAUCAUGGAGGUGAUCACAUUAUAUCAGAUCUCAUCCUAGAGGUGAUCACAUCAUUCCACAGCUGCCAAACUGCACCGUAACUGUUCAGCCAAGUUGACAUACGACCUUAACCAUCACAGGUGCAUAUGUAAUCAUGGUUAAAUAUUCUUGAUGAAUUGAUCCUUUUGUCACUAUAUAAUAUCUGUUUUUAUCUCCUUUAACAGAUUUUGUCUUAAUGUCUACUUUGUCUGAUGUGAAGAUAGCCACCCCAGCUCUCUUUUGGUUAUUAUAUUUGUGUGAAGUAUUUUUUUCAUCCUUUCACUUCCAACCUAUUUGUGUUCUAGAGUCUAACGUGUGUCUCUUGUAAAUAGCAUACAAUGGUGGGUUUUAUUUUAAUCAGUUCUGCCACUCUCUGCCUUUUGAUUGGAACAUUUAGUCCAUUCACGUUCAGUGUAAUUACUCAGUAAGAUAUUACAUAUUUCUGCCAUUUUGUUACUUGUUUUUUGUGGUUUAAGGUGUUAAUUGUCUUUGUCCUUUACUCUUGCUUGCAUUUGUGUUUUGUUGGUUUAUUGUAAUGAGCCAUUUUGGUUCCCUUAUUUCUUUUUGUGUAUGAUGUUUAGAUAUUUUCUUAGUGGUUACCGUGAAUAUUACAUUUAAAAGCUUAUAUUUAUAGCAUCCUGUGGUAAGUUGGUGCCAACUUAAGUAACAUACAAGAAAUUCUAUACCUAUACCAUUCAUUCUGCCUUUUGUUGCUGAUAUCACUAAUUAUGUCUUUAUAUUUCAUGUGCCCUGUAAUAUAAUUUUAUCCUUGCUUUUAAUACAUUUGUUGUUAAAAAGCAUGAAAGACAAAACAAUUAGAAUUAUCAAGCAUGACUAGCUCAAUACUAGCCCUUAUACUUGUCCAUGCAGUUCCCUUUAUGAGGGAUUUUUCUUCUUAGGUAUGGCUUUGAAUUAGAUCCUAGUGUCUUUUUCCCUUCCAUGUGCAGAACUCACAUUAAUAUUUUUUGUAGGGUUGGUCUGGUGGAUAUGAACCCUCUUAGCUUCUGUUUGGGAAUGCGUAGCAGUCUGUUUGAACAGCUUUAUUGAAGCUUGGUUUAUAUACAUAAAACCACUGUUCUAAGUGUAAGAUUCAGUAAUUUUUAGUAUACUUUUGGAGUUGUAUAAUUAUCAUCACAAUCUAAUUUUAGAACAUUUCGACCACCUGCGAAUAAAACCAUGUGCCCAAAGGUAAUUUUCAGGGGAGAAAGGAUAGUGUUUUCAGCAAAUGAUGCUGAAAUAACUGUGUGCUAUGCUACAUACGUGGUUAUGCCGCAGCAUGGAUGAGUGUUCCAUAAAAAACCCGUUGCCGUCGAGUCGAUUCCGACUCAUUAGCGACCCUGUAGGACAGAGUAAAACUGCCCGAUACAGUUGCCAAGGAGUGCCUGGUGGAUUCGAACUGCUGACCUUUUGGUUAGCAGCUGUAGCUCUUAACCACGAUGCUACCAGGGUUUCCGGAUGAGCCUUAAAACCAAAAACCAAAACCAGUGCCGUCGAGUCGAUUCCGACUCAGAUGUAUAUACAUACACAUACACACACACACACACACACACACACACACACACGCUUACAACAUGGAUGAGCCUUAAAAUGUCAAAAACAAGUGAAAGAAGCCAGACACACAAGACUACGUAUUGUAUUAUUCUAUUUAUAUGCAAUGUUCAGAAAAUACAAAUGUGUAGAGACAGAAAAUACACAGAUUGCCUAGGCCUGGGGCUGGGAAGAUGAAGUAACUACAAAUAAAACCAAAACCAAACCUGUUGCCAUCUCAGAGUGACCCUGUAGGACACAGCAGAGCUGCCCCAUAUGGUUUCCAAGGAGCGCCUGAUUGAUUUGAGCCUUUCGGUUAGCAGCUGUAGCUCUUAACUACUAUUCCACCAGGUUAGUUAUUUUAGCCAUAGUAUAUAUAUAUUUUUAUAUACAGGAUAAAAGUUUCUCAUUUGUUUAUUAGGAAGAAGGUUCAGAUUUUUCUAAGGAAAAUUUGUUUGUGAUCAAAGGUAGUUUCAUUCUUUAGGCAAAUAUUUGAACCACUGACUUUUUAUGCUGUUGGGUUUGGGAGACACUGAAGAAAUUGCUUCUUGUAGGACAUAUAUUUGUUUAGCAGGAAGGACAGUCAAUCAAACUUGUAAUUUCCAUAAAAUAAGAGGAGCAGGAGGAGUUUGGCAAAGCAUCACUGAGAAAGUGAUGUCUAAGCUGGGACUAAAGGAUAAUUAAUAGGAGCCAGGGAUAUCAUUGCUGAUGUCAGAUGAAUCUUGGCUGAAAGCAGAGAAUACCAGAAAGAUGCUUACCUGUGCUUUAUUGACUAUGCAAAGGCAUUCGACUGUGUGGGUCAUAACAAAUUAUGAAUAACAUUGUGAAGAAUGGGAAUCCUGGAACACUUAAUUUUACUCAUGGGAAACCUGUACAUGAGACUACGAGGCAAUUGUUGGAAUGGAAUGAAGGGAUACUACUGCAUGAUUUGAAAUCAAGAAAGGUGUGCAUCAGGGUAAUACCCUUUCACCAUACUUAAUCAUUCUGUAUGCUGAGCAAAUAAUCUGAGAAGCUGGACUGUAUGAAGAACGCAGCAUUAAGAUUGGAGGAGGACUUGUUAACAACCUGCGAUAUGCAGAUGACACAACCUUGCUUGCUGAAAGCAAAGAGUAUUUGAAGCACUUACUGAUGAAGAUCAAAGACACUAUAGUCUUCAGUAUGGAUUAUACCUUGACAUAAAACAAAAAUCCUCACAACUGGACCAAUAAGCAACAAACAUCAUGAUAAACCAAAAAAAAGAUUGCAGCUGUCACGGGUUUCAUUUUGCUUGGAUCCACAGUCAAUGCCCAUGGAAGCAGCAGUUAAGAAAUGAAACGACAUACUGCAUUGGGCAAAUCUGCUGCAAAAGACCUCUUUAAGGUGUUAAAAUGCAAAGAGAUUACUUUAAGGACUAAGAUGCACCUGACCCAAGCCAUGGUAUUUUCAGUUGCCUCAUAACACAUUAGAAACCUGGACAAUGAAUAAGGAAGACUGAAGGAGAAUUGACACCUUUGAAUUACGGUGUUGUCAAAGAAUAUUGAAAAUAACGUGGACUACAGAAAAAAAAAUUUUUUCUUCUUACAGAAGAGUGAACGUAUCUAUCUUGAGCGAAGAACAACUAGAAUGCCUCUUAGAAGCGAGGAUGGUGAGACUUCAUCUCAUGUACUUUGGACAUAUUAUCAGGCAGGACCAGUCCCUGGAAAAGGACAUCAUGCUUGGUACAGUAGAAAAGGGUCAGCAAAAAAGAGGAGGACCCCUAACGAGAUGGACUGACACAGUGGCUGCGAUGGUGGGAGCAAACAGCAACGAUCGUGAGCGUGGCAUGGGACCAGCAAGUGUUUCAUUCUGUUGUAUGUAUGGUCGCUGUGAGUCAGAACCACUCGAUGACACCUAACAACAAGCCAGAUGUUUGGAAAGGCCAGGGGAAUUGUGAAAGAGGUCCAGAAUGGUUGGGGGAGGAGGGUGGCAGGAGCCAAUGGAGAUUAUAAAGCCAUAUUAAGUUUCUAAUGGAAUGGCCUUUAGUCAUAAGAGCUUGCUAGUGCCCUGAGGAGGGUAGGACGUCGUUCUACCCUAGGUUUACUGUCAGUUGGCCACACAGGGUAUCUGUAAUUGCACUGUGGGUACUUGGCCAAUGAGUGCAGUUUGAGAUGAACUGCUACCUUUUUCAUCUCUGCCAGGAUAAAAUAUAUUUUUUGAGAACUGAUUUGAAGGCUCAACUACUAGCCAAAAGGUUAGUCGUUUAAAUUCAUCCAGAGGCUCCUUGGAAGAUGAGCCUGGUGAUCUGUUUCUGAAAGUUCACAGCUUUGAAAACCUUAUGGAACACAGUUCUACUCUGUACACAUAGGUCGCCAUGAGUUGAAAUCAACUCGAUGGCAACUAACAACGUGCUGGAGAGAGACUUGGAAGCUGUUGUACCACACGAACAAUUAAAUCUCCAGACAGAAGCUAAUGGAGUCACUACCACUCACUAGUCAUUGGUCACAUCUAGUUACAUGGCGCCUCUCUCCCACAAGGGGGCCAAGAAAUGUAAUUUUACCAGGUGCCUGCCUGCAAGGGGUGAGGAGUAGAAAUAGUUGUCGGGCAGCACUAAUGACUACUAGAUUGUAUUACUAGCACAUGGCACAGUACUUAGCACGUAGUGGGCAUUCAGUAAAUAUACGUCGAAUGAAUGGCAGUGUUUAAGCAGCUACUAAAUUUUAACUGAGGAGCACUGGUGGCGCAGUGGUAAAGUGCUUGGCUGCUAGCCAAAAGACCAAUGGUUCAAACCAACCAGCCACUCCCCGGAAUAUAGAUGUGGCAGUCUGCUUCUGAAAGGAGUUACAACCUUGGAAACCCUAUGGGGCAGUUCUGCUCUGUCCUGUAGGGUCGUUGUGAGUUGGAAUUGACUCAACAGCAACGAGUUUUUUUUUUUUCCCCGUAAAUUUUAAUCUGUAGGGGAUGUUUGAAAGGGAAUUUCUGGGUGAAUGGCAGAUUAUUUAGGAGACCCACACAGUGGUUUUUUUUUUUCCCCCUCCUUGAGUUUUCACAGUUGUAUUUGCUUCCUCAAUUAGUAUCUCUUUCUCAAAUAUCAUUACUCUUUGUCUCUGUUUCUGGCCUAGUCUCCUGUAGCCUCCUUUGUUGACUCCUGUUGCAAGCACGGAAACCCUGGUGGUGUAGUGGUUAAGUGCUACAGCUGCUCAUCAAAAGGUUGGCAUUUCGAAUCCCCCAGGUUCUCCUUGGAAACUCUCUGGGGCAGUUCCACUCUGUCCUAUAGGAUUGCUAUGAGUCAGAAUUGACUACAUGGCAACAGGUUUGGCUUGGUUUUGGUUUAUUGAAAGCAUAGGAGUUCCCUGGGUGGUACAUGUGGUUAAGUGAACAACUGCUAACUGAAAAGUUGGUGGUUUGAUUCUACCCGGGGCAUCUAGGAAGAAAGGCCUGGCAGUCUACUUGCAAAGGAUCAAAGCAAUUGAAAGGCCUAUGGUGCACAUUUCUACUCUGAAACAAAUGGGGUUGCCAUGAGUUGGAAUCGAGUCCAUGGCAGCUGGUUUACUGGUUUAUUGAAAGCAUAAGUUGUUUCAUGAGAUUGCAAUAAUUCAUUUACUAUGAAGGACCAUAAAAGCUGGGUACAUCUGAUGCCUAAUCCUUGAAUUGACACAGUGGAUACAGCAGUGGGCUCAAGCAUAGCAAUGAUUGUGAGGAUGGCGCAGGACUGGACAGUGUUUUGUUCCGUUGUAUACAGGGUCGCUAUUAGUUAGAAUCAACUAGCUGGGACCUAACAAUGUUUUUUUUUUUUUCUUUUUAAUAAUUUUUAUUGUGCUUUAAGUGAAAGUUUACAAAUCAAGUCGGUCUGUCACAUAUAAGCUUAUAUACACCUUACUCCAUACUCCCACUUACUCUCCCCCAAUGAGUCAGCCCGCUCCCUCCUUCCAGUAUGUCCUUUCGUGACAAUUUUACCAGUUUCUAACCGUCUCUACCCUCCUGUCUCCCCUCCAGACAGGAGAUGCCAACACAGUCUCAAGUGUCCAUCUGAUAACAAGUAGCUCACUCUUCGUCAGCAUCUCCCUCCAGCCCAUUGUCCAGUCCCUUCCAAGUCUGAUGAGUUGUCUUCGGGAAUGGUUCCUGUUCUGGGGCAAUGGAAGGUUUGGGGACCAUGACCGCCAGGAUUCCUCUAGUCUCAGUCAGACCAUUAAGUCUGGUCUUUUUAUGAGAAUUUGGGGUCUGCAUCCCACUGAUCUCCUGCUCCCUCAGGGGUUCUCUGUUGUGCUCCCUGUCAGGGCAGUCAUCAGUUGUGGUCGGGCACCAUCUCCUAACAACGUUUUUAGGAUUAUUUCAAUUGCAGUCUGGAUACAAUAUUGAUACGUAUUACUGAUUUAGCACUAAUAUUUGUUUAUUGAAUUAAUAUAAAGAAUGUUCUACAUCUAAAGCCUUCUUCAGUAGAUAGAAAAUAAACCCAAAAUGAAAGCUAAAAUUGGUCUUCAGAUUAACAGCAGUGAAUUAGAUUUGCAUUUUGAGAAUAAGUUUUAUAGCAAUUCUGAGUAAUGUAUCAUUGAAAUAGCAAUAGCAGAUGUUAGAAUCCUAUUAGUCAAGUAAAAAAAGUACAUCCUAAAUUAUUAAACACUGUAUUCAAAUUAUGUAAAAUAUCCAUUUUAUGAUUUUGAGUAGAAUCAUAGGUUGUUUUCUUAAGUAAGGCUUGUCGUGUUCUUCCUUCCCCCUCUCAGUUUGAAUCCCUGGUAUGUGUUCUAUUUUUACUUGUGGGCCUGCAUACUGAAGCGAUCUCUGAUUUCAUGUUCUGAAGAUCAGCAAGAGAGCGCUUCUCCUGUAAGAUGAGAAUUGUGCAAUAGGUGUCUAUUAGAAGAGUAAACAAGUCUUAGUAAGUUGGUGAGCAGUUACUGGGUGAGUUUCUUUUCAAUAAAAGCAGUGCCGAUACCAGAUGUCUCUUGUUACUAUGACUAAAGAUGAUUCAGUAAUUUCAAUGGCUGGCUUCUUGCCUGAUGAAUAAUUGCUAGUAGUAAUUUUUUUGUAGUAUUGGUGAAGCUUUAUUUUCUCUGUUUCAUUUUUUUUUUUUUUAAAUUCUGUUUUAGGGAUCAAUGAAAGCAAUAUAUAUGGAAUAUUUACAGAUUACUAGAAAUAAGCCAGGACUGUUGAAUUAAAAAAGAAAAAAGUUUUGCCAAGCAAUAUUAUAUCUUCAUUUUCAUUAUAAACUGAAAGUGCAGUUGUUUAAAAUUCACAUUGAGCAACAUUGAUAUAUUUCAAUUUGUUAGAAUCUGCUUGGGGCUUGGGUAGAAAGACUAUUUAAUUAUUCGUUAAAAGAUUAUCCUUUGUCUAAAUACUGCAGAGAAGACCUAACGAUAUUUAUAUUCUCGAAAGAAGUAAUGAACACUGUUGCUCAUUAUGGGGCUUUAUUGUAUUUCUGGCUGCCCAUCUGGCGCUCUCACUCCACUUGUCCCUUCUGGGUCUCUGGCUUAAUGUGACAUCAUAUCAGAUUUUAAUUAUGAAUUCAUUUUCCAGAGCUGAUUUAAAAUUUCAGAGAGUUACAUUUGUUCAUUUACAAAUUUCCUUGACUGCUAGUUGAAGUUUGAUUAUUUCUUGGCCACAUGAAUGUAUAUAAUAAAGCGAAACUUGUCUGAAUUUUGAAUUGGAGGAAAAUUCUGAAGGCAGAUAAAAUACUUAAUAUUACUUUUCCAUGCCUUAACUCCCAUCGCUUUACUCUUUUAAUUCUGAUUUGUCUGCAUACUCAUAGUUCUUUGAAAUAGGUAUGCUCAGUCCUUUAAUUUUGCCUUUCUUAACGCACACAGACAAACCAAAAAAAAACAAAACAAAACUGUGGCAUAGUUUCUGAAUUUUGUCUUCCUUCCCCUGUCCCCCUUCCCUUUCCUUUUUUUAGAUCUAUAGCAAAGUAGAUUUAUUAGGCUUGGGUAGAUAGCCAGAUAACCAUGUGGAGCUUUGUUAGUUGGCAAGCCAGUUGGGUACUUUGAAUUGACACUGGAAUAAUGGGGAGAAAAAGGACAGGGAAUUUCAAGAGAAGGGGUCACGGGGGUGUGAUAAGCUAUUUCUGUUGCCAACUAAAAGGAACUAGAGCUCCAUGGAGAAAUGGCUGAUUCUAGGUUUGGGGCUGGAAAUACUCAGAACAUCUUGUCGUACCAGAAAGGAAGGAAGCUAUCAAACAUCACUGGGCAGUUCACUUGAAGAGGUUCCCACUGGACAAAUUGACCACUGGGGCAGUUUGGGCAGAAAAAAAGUAAUAAUUGUGGAUUGAAACACAUCAGACAUGUUACAGUCAAUGAGUUCGUAACAUCAAAACCAAAACAGCAGCAGCAAUAACAGCAAAACACCUUAGUGGUCACCUUGGGGAGGAUGCUGUGGAGCCAGCUUGUUCUGAGAGCAUUGGGAAAGAAGCAGACCAUUAGCACUUUGAGACUUUCUUAGAUAAUCAAAUAGUUUAUAUAGAGAAGUUUUUCUUCAUAGUCCUUUAAAUAAUAUUUUCUCUAUAAAAAAUGAAAAAUUAGAAUAUCACCAUUUCACUACCUGUAGUGAAAUAAUAAUAACGGCAGUGGGUUGUGGGUUUAGGCAAUAAUCAUCAGCAACUGUCACAGCCAGUAGGUGAGACCGAUAGCACCUGAGCCUACAAAUCAAUUUUAGCAUCAUAGAAAGAGGACCCCACCCGCCUGAUGUGAUACAGUGAGUACCGCCUUUGAAAUUUCCUUGUAGAAACUUCAAAUGUGAAUCUGACCAAGCUUGUAGAUCUACUGAUUUACAGGAAAUACAGGAUAUUGAGGAACAUGUUCAGAGGCACCAUGGGAAGAUGCAAUCUGUAAAUUCUACAGUGGAGGAAAUUCUAUAGGACAAGUGUCUUGGUUUCUUCAACAAAUAAAAAAGGCUCAGUAAACCUGUGAAUUAAAAGAGACAUACUACAGUGUGGGCAUCUUGUUUGCAUUGAUCCUAUUCCAACCAACUAAUUGUAAAACAAACAAAAAACCUUAUCGAGCAAAAGGGAAAAUUUGAUACUAACAAUUUAUUGUUAAUUUUUCUUAAGUUUGAUAAUGUGGUUUUGUUUUAGAACGUAUACUGAAAGGUAGACAUAUGAGAUUUACUUUAAAAUGCAGGUUGAAGAGUUGUGGAUGGGUAUAUAGAUAACACUAGAUGGGCCGUAUUUUGAUAUUUGAACCUGGACAAUGGGUACACGGUAUCAUUUUACUCUUCUGCUAUUUUGUUGAAAAUUUGACGUGUAAAAAAAAGGUCAUAUAUGUUGAUGCUUUGGUCUUAUCUGAAUUUCAUAAAAUUCAAUUUUUAUAUAUGAGGUAAAUGAGUUUUUCUCAGCUGUUAAAUUGUUUUUUUCUUGACGUGUCUGCUUAGACUAAAAUCAGGAGAACUUUUUGGUGAUAGUAUUUAUGAUUUGAAUUAUCUGUGAAACUUAAAUUCAUGCCUCAUUUUUUCCAAAGGUAGGGCUGCUCUAACUUUACUGUCAAUUUAUGCUCGUCUAAACGGUGGACAUUUUACUAGGAUGUACACAAAAUUACAGGGUAAAACAUGGCACAGACAUCCUGGAACUCCAGAUUUACCUGAGGACGCAAGAAAAACCAUGUAUGUUGUAUUAAACAUGGACAUAUUAUGGGAGUUACAGUGAAAAAUUUAAUUUUCAAGAUAAAAACGAGAUGUGAAAGAAAUUUUAUAAUUGGGAUUAGUCAUGGUCCUUUAAGUUAGGGCUUUUUGUUUUGCCAGUUUCCUAGUUUGUAGUUCAUGGUUGGGCUAAGGUUUUUUUUUUUUUUUAAAUACUAGCAUUAAAAUAACUUUUGAAAUCUAUUCCUUUUAAUUUGAUGCUUGGUUCAAUACUAGGGCAAGCUGUAUUGGUGAACUUUUUUCAUAUUACUGCUUGAUUAUAUUUCUUACUGCUGUAGAUUCUUUGAGGUACAAAUUCUUAGUUGCACUCUCAGUUGGUAUUAAUAGCUCUGUUUUUGCUUGUUUUCUUGUUAUAAUAUUUAUUCCUCAUAUUAACUUGCUUUACUAUUGUGGAUAACCUUGACUCUUCCUUCAAUAAAUGAAGGACUUAGAACUGUUUUAGAAACCUGCUGGAAUACCACAGUAUUUGUUUGCCUCAGUAUUUUUCUUUUGGCCAAUAAUUGCUAGUUUUUUCCAGAGAGGUCCCUAUAGCCUUAGUCUCCAGAGUUCAUAUCUGUUGCAACCGAAGAGAAAUUUACUAGUUUUAUAUGUGUGUGUGUGUGUGUAUAUAUAUAUAAUUUUUUCCUUCUGGAAAAGUGGUUUGAGGAAGAGCAUAGUGAAAUCUCCUACCCUAUCAUAUAGGAAAAAAAGGGAUUGGCCUUGUAUUAAGGUUUUAAGCCAUGUGGAAAUUAUCUUAUGCAGCACUUUCAAAUUAAAAUGCUGACAUACCAAAUUUAAUCUUCACAUUUAAUUCCGUAAUCAUUUAGCAAAUAUUUGAGUGCUUACUUUUCUAAGCGUGUUGUUGUUCAGUGCCGUUGAGUAGAUUUUUGAUUCACAGUGACCCCAUAUGAUAGAGUAGAACUGUCCUGUAGAGUUUUCUAGGUCUUUCUCCCAGCCAUGGGUUCAAACCGCCAGCCUUUUGGUUAGCAGCUAAGCAGUUAACCAUUGUGCCACCGGGACUCCUUUUUCUAAGCUAGUAGUACUUUGAAGAGCAGAACAUAAAAAUCUUGCUGGCACAAAGUUGACAUUUAGUGUGGGAAGACAGAUAAUAAACUAAAUAAUUAAGUUAAAAAAAAGUGGUUUGUUAUAUAGUGAUAAGUGUCCUGGAGAGAAAAUAAAGCAGGUAAAGAGGAUGAAAAGUUGGGGGUGGAGCUUGCCAGGCAGAGGGAAUUGCAAGUACAAAGGCUCUGAGGUGGGAGAGGCCUGGCAUGUCAAAGGAACAGCAAGGAGUGGAGGGGACAGCAUGACCAUUACGGUGAGAACUUUGGCUCUUACUUUGAGACAAAUUGUUAGUGGUUUUUCAGCUAGGAGUGACGGGAUGGGAUCUGAUUUACAUUUCAACAGGUUCACACUUGGUUUGCUAUGUUGAAAAUACAGGGCAUGGGGAGGGGCACAAAAGCAGAAGCAAACAGAGUGGUUAUGAGAUUUUAGCAGUAAGGCGGACGAGAUAUGUUACUGACUUGCGCCAAGAUGGUGGCAGUGGAGAUACGUGGUUGAAUUCUUGGGUAUAUUUUAUAUGUAGAGCUGUGGAUCAGAUUUUUGGAAGGUGGUAUGUUUGAAAGAGAAUCUGUCAAGGAUGACUUUAAGGUUUUUGGCCAGAGCAACCAAAAGGAUGCAGUUGGCAUUAACUGAAAUGUAAAAGACUGUAGGACAAGAUGGAGAGAUUACCAGUGACUUAAGUUUUGAAUAUGCUAAUUUUAAAUUGCCUACUAGACAUUUAUCAAGUAGAGAAAUCAAAUAGGCAGUUUAUCAUAGAUGAUCGGGAAUUAAAGGGAAUUUGUUAGUAUAUAGAUUUUAUUUAAGCCAAGAGUCUAAUAAGUAGGAUGGAUGUAGGAGUAAGUACAGAUAAAGGGUACAGAUAAAGAGAAGAGAAUUAAAGACAGUCUUGGGGCACACCGCUGUUAAGAAGUCAGAGAAAUCGCCAGAAACUAGUGAAGGAUUAUUAGGGGAGCGGUCAGUGAGGUUAGAGUAAUACCAGAAUAUUGUGGCCUUAAGCCAAGUGAAAAAAAAAAUUCAAGGAGGAAGGGAGAUCAGCUGUGUCAAAUAGAUCAGGUAAGAUAAGGACUGAUAGUAACACUAACGAGUAAUAGUAACUUGAACGGGCAGUUUCAGUGGAGUGGUGAGGGCAAAAGCCAGCUUGGUAUGAAUUUGAGAGAAUAGGAGGAGGAGAACUGGAGAUAAGAAAUGCAGAUAGCUCUUAGAAGUUGUGUUGUGAAGGGGAGAAGAGAAAUGAGGCAGGAACUGGAGGGGGUGUGGCCUCAUUUUUGUUUUGAAGAAGUUGAAGAGAUGCUAGUAUGUUUGUUGUUGAUGGGAUUGAAUUCAGCGGAGAAGGAAGAAUUGAUGACAUGAGAGAAGGUAGGAAUUUCUGGAGCAAUGUCUUUGAGUAGGGGAAAGGAGAUGGAUCUAGUGACUGCCCAAUUUGGAAGCCUUAGUUAGGAACAUGGAAGUUCAUCCACAGUAACAGGAGAGAGGGAGGAUUAAUGUAAAAGGAUAGAUCUGCGGAAAAUGUGGAAAAUUUCAGUACUUACCAUAUAGGAUUUUUGUGAGGAUUAAAUAAAUUAAUACUUGUUUGAUGAUUACAGAACAUAGUAAGUGCUCAGUAUUUUUAUUACACUUGUAACUAAAAAUUUCGUAUAUGAAAUUGUUAAGGUUGUAAUGUUUGCUUAUAAAGUUACAAUGUGAUUUACACAGUCGGUUUCCUUAAAUUGCUUGUGUGAGUAAUAUUCUGAAAAUAUAUUGAUUUUUCACUCGAGCCAGAUGGAUCAGUGAUUACUGGUUAUACCAUCUUUUCUUUUCCAAAAUCCUGGCUACCAGUAAUGCCGUUCUCAGAAGAUAAUCAACUUAAGUACAGCCAAAAGAGAUAAAAUUUUUGUAGUUCUAAUCACAAAAGCUGUAAUUUUUAAAAUUAUUUAUUUUGUUGUUUAGAAUACACAGGCAACACACACCAAUUCAACAGUUUUUGCAUGUAUAGUGCAGUGACAUUGAUUACAUUCUUUGAGUUGUGCUACCAUUCUCACCCUCCUUUUCUGAGUUGUUCCUCCUCCGUAGUGCCCCCUAAGUUUCCUAUCUGAUUUUUCGAGUUGCUGUUGCCAAUUUGAUCCGGUAUGCAUAGAUCUUGAACGAGCACAGUGCUCAAGGCAGAUGUUCUUUACUAGUUAAGUUAAACUAUUGCUUGGUUUUAAGAAGUCUUCAGGGGAUAUUUUUGAUUUAAGGUUUAAAGAUUAUCCCAGGGUAAUAGUUUCAGGGGUUCAUCCAGCCUCCAUGGCUCCAGAAAGUCUGGAGUCCAUGAGAACUUGAAAUUCUGUUCUGUAUUUCCCUCCAUUUGUUAUAGUUUUGAAAGUAUUUUGUUUUUCCUUAAUAUUUGGGUAAAAGUUUUUUUUGGGGGGUAAUAUUUUAUUGUGUUUUAAGUGAAAGCUUACACAGCAAAUUAGGUUACCAUUUAAUAAUUUUUAUACAAAUUGUUUUGUGACAUUGGUUGCAUUUUUCACAAUGUGUCAAUAUUCUCAUCAUUUCCCAUUGUUUGUUGUUUCCAUUCAUCUAGCUUCCCUGUCUCCCCUUAUCUUCUCAUGAUUGUUGUAGGGUAAGUGCUGACUUUGUGGUCUCAUAUAGUUGAUUAUUGAAGGGAACACAGUACCCACAGGUAAUGUCGUUUAUUUUAUAAGUCAGUCUAUCGUUUGCAUGAAAGGAGACCACCAGAAGUGGCUUCAGUUUCAAGUUCAAAGAAUAUUUUAGGAUGAUAGCCUUGGGGGUUCCUCUAGUCUCUGUCGGUCCAGUAAGUCUGGCCUUUUUGCAGGAAUUUGAGUUUCGUUAUACAUUUUUCUCCCUUUUUCUCUUGGAGCUUCUGUUGUGUCCCUGGUAAGAACAGUGGGUACUGGUAACCAGGUACCGUCUAGUUUUUCUGGUCUCAGGCUAGACAAGGCUGUAGUUCAUGUGGCCUGUCAGUCCUGUGGACUAGUUUAUUCUUUGGGUCUUUGGUUUUCCUCGUUCUCUUUUGUUCUAGAUGAGUAGAGACCAAUCUUUGUAUCUUAGAUGGUUGGUUGCAAGCUUUUAAGAUCCCAGACACUACUCACCAAACUAGGAUGUAGACCGUUAUCUUUAUGAAUCUGUGUUAAGCCAAUUGACCGAAUUGUCCCACGAGACUGUAGUCCUAUGCCUUCAAACCCAAUAAAAUCAGUUCCACGAGGUGUUUGGUUAUGUCUAGGAAGUAUCUGUAACUGUGCCCCCAUGUGCUUUAUUAUGCACAUGAAUAUAUAUGUAGCACACACAGACAUGUAUGUAUGUAUGCCUACAGAUGCACCUAUACAUUCAUACCCAUACAUUCAAUAUGUGCCUUCCUGUACACAUAUAUGCAUACAUAUCUACCUAUGUAACCGCACACAUAUUUUUUUGGUUAUCACUGUUGUUGCAAAAUUGUAUGUCAUAGCAUUUACCGAAAUUAUCUUUUAUUCUUGUGUACUUCUUAACGUCUUCAUUUACCUUGGACAAGUUGUGCAGAUAUCACCCACAUUGGAUAUUGCCUUUUCCAUCACCAAAAAUUACAAGUGCCUAACUAUAUAGAAAGCGAUUCUCCCUCCCGUCCCUGGUAACCAAAGAACGUUGCUUUCUCUGUGUACCUAUUCUUGACUUUUUAUAAAAGGGAGACCAUACACUAUUUGUCCCUUUGUGAUUGAACUUGUCUCACUCAGCAUAAAGUCCUCCAGAUUGACCCAUGUUACAAGAUUUUUCACAGACUCGAUAUUCUUUGUGGUGUGGAUUAAAAGUUUCUUUAGCAAAAUUGUAGCAUUCUAGUAGAAAAUGGAAUCCUUAUACUCCAGUUACAGUGGAGGUAGCAGAGAAAUCCAAAUAUAUUCAUACAAGCGAUAUCUGCAGUUUUAGGGCCAGUUGUAAAGCUGGGGCAAAUGUGGGAACAUUAGAGGGAGAGUUGGAACCUGAACAUACCUGGGAAAUCUACCAAAACUCUCACUGACUUUAGGUGUGUUUGUAUUUUGAAAUUAAAUUAAGAUGGAGAACAUGUAAAAUCUAUAAGUAUAUCACUAUUACUAUUAGUUUUAAGGGUGAGAUGGCACAGUGGUUAAGCAUUUGUCUGCUAACCACAGAAUCGGUAAUUCAAACCCACCAGCCCCUCCUUAGAAACACUGUGGGGCAGUUUCGGAAUCGACUUGAAGUCAUUGGGUUUGGUUUUGGUUUUUUGGUCAGGUGCCCAGAAGGGCGGAAGAGGGAGAAAUGAAGAAGUCUGAUUAGAGAGCCCAGAGCUAAUGUCAAAGAGGCAGCGUUUCUCUGAAGGAGAAUCAGAUCUUGGCAGUACAGAAUCCUAGGUUCUGACUGUUUGUUGGGAAAGAAUAGGACCAAGGCAGAUAAAUUUGGUAAGUCAAGACUUAACACAGUGCCGUUGAGUCGAUUCCUUAGGAUGUGAAAACUUCAAGGAGACCAGACCCUUAGAUGAGCUGGGAAAGUUAGAGAGGAGUUGAUUUGAAUCAAAGGCUUGUUACUGAAAGUAAUUUAAAAUUUACUGUUUGAAAUGCCUUUGAAUCUACAUUAUUUACAUAAAAUUGUGCUUUCCAGCAUCCUUCAUUUGAUAAUUGAGCGUUCAGCGUUUGAAAGCAGAAUAUUCUCAGAUGCAAAACAAGUGAGUAUAGACAUGGAUGCUGUAGCCUUCGAAGGUACACCGAACUAUGAUAAGUAAUAUGCCAUAUGAAAGGUAAAAGUUACGGUGCUGUAGGUAAUCAUAAGAAGCGGAGAAUACUUCCAGCAAAAAAGGCUUCACUGAGGAUGUAGUAUUUUGAGAUGACCCUCGAAGGUGGAAGACAGAAAUGUUGGUGAGGAUAUUUCAGGUAAUAGCAUGCACUAUUAGGUGGGAAGAGUGGUGUCUGUAUAUGGGAUAAAUAGUUCAGGGUAAAAUUAAAUCCAAAUAAAAUAUUUCUCAAAGCACAAUUUUUUUCUUCCAGUGAGUCCUUCAGAAGUUUGUGGGUGAGGUGGGUGGAAAGAAAAAGGAGUGAGAGGGUAAAACAAACUAUGGUAGAGCAAUCAACCAUAUAAAGAAAUUAUUUUUUAAUUAGGAAAGAGAACAUGUUUAAAAAACAUAGGAAUGUGGAUAUGAAAAAAAGCUAAUAAGCAGAGAAAGAAAACUAGAUAAAUUUGGUAUGUUCUUAGUUUCUAAAAUUAAAAUUAAUUUUAAUAAAAAUGACAGGCAAAGUCAGCUUUUCUUAAAGAAAUUUAAAAUAAAAAUGAAAUUUCCUUAAAAAUAAAUGAGUGCACGGACCAAAAAGAAAAAUGGACAAGGACACAGAGAGACUAUGGAAAAUUACAGAUGGCAUUAAAAAAUAUUGACGAUGCUAGGCUUCACCCGUAAGAGCACAAAUGAAAGCUAUACUCUUUAUAUUCUAAAGCUAUACUUUGAGAUACCCUUUUCCAUCCACACUCCAGCCAGACCAUCCUAUGGUGAAUGAAGUGAUCAAUUCUCAAGUCAUACCCAUACACUGUUUCCAGCCCUGUGGUUUUAGUCCCCAUGUCUUAAAUGUGGACAGUCAAAUUUUAUCAGAUAAGCAAAGAAAAGCCUCCUUAUAUGAAAUAAAUCAAUACAAAUAGAAAAACAACUAGAAGGAGAACUAUACCCCAGGAAGGGAAAAGAAAACAUUAAAAAAACGAAAAGGGGGGGACCCCUAAGAUGAAGUUUACGAACAAGGACAGGACUCUAAAAAAAAAAAUGGGAGCUGAAAAUAAUUGAAAAAUUUAAUAGAGGGGGAUUAGAAGAUAAAAUUGAGGAAAUCUUCCAAAAAGUAGAACAAAUAAACUGUAAAAAAGGAGCAGAUAGUUAUACUACGUGCAAAUAUAACUUUGAUUAAAAAUUAAAGAAAAUUUAACUGUGGCGCAUUAGGAAAAAUUAAGUGAUAAUUUUUUCAGUUGUGUCAUUAUUCUUGCAGGAUAACUUCUUAGAAGUGGAAUUUAAAUGAAAGGGUGAAAAUUAAUUUAGGAACUAGUGCCAGUUUAUUGCCUUCUGUAAAAAUUGUACCGGUUCACAUUCUGUCUACAGUUUGGUGAUCCUAUGUUUGGCUCAUAUCUUCCAACUCUGUUUAAAAUUGAGAAUCACUUUCCAAUCUGAUGGAUAAAAAGUGAUAUUUUACUUGAAUUUCUUUUAAUAGUGAGGUUGAACAGUUUUUCAUGUGUUUAUUGGACAUUUGUAUUUAUUCCCUCAUCUAACCAUACCAAACCAAACCCGUUGCUGUCGAGUCCAUUCCGACUUAUAGCGAGUAGAACGAACUGCCCCAUAGAGUUUCCAAGGAGCGCCUGGUAGAUUCACACUGCCGAGCUUUUGGUUAGCAGCCUAGCGGCCGAAGCACUUAGCCGCCAUGCCACCAGGGCUUCCAUUCCCUCAUGAAGACUUUGUGUUUAAUCUCAUUCUUAGUGAUUAGUCAGUGCCCUUUAUUUAUUUAGGGAUUAACUGUCAUGUGUUAAAUGUAUUUUCACCUCAGUUUGUCUUUGGGUCUCCUUCCUUCCUUUAAGUCUUUCAACAGUUCAGGAUUUUUGUAUUGUCAAGUUUCAGUCUUUUCAUUUGUGAUUUUUAGGUUUUCUUUUUUUUUUUUAUCAGACUUAAGACUUUUCCAAACCAUGAUUUUAAAUAUGUUCCCACCCUGCCCUCCCAUAUUUUCUUUCAGAGCUUUUAUGGUUUUAUUUUCUGUAUUUAUAAAGUCUUGUUCUACCUGGGACAUUUUGUUUAUAAGAAUUUAGAUAGAAAUUUGCCUUUAUUUUUUUUAAAUGACUAACCAGUUGUCCUGACACGCCAUUUUUGACUAGUUCAGUUUUUCCCUCCUGAUUUGAAAUGCUAUCAGCUUCAUUAAAUACCAAAUUCUUAUGUGUAUUUUAGUAAAUUUUUGGGCUGUGUUCUGUUCUCUAGAUCUCCAAGUCUCUUCUUAGGCUAGAUUAUACUCUGACAGUCACUAUAAUUUUAGAAUUUUUUUUUCAUCUGUCACCUUACUUUAAAAUUUUAUUUUUACCAAACAGUAUUCUGAAAGGCUUAUAAUAAACAACUAACUGUCUUUGUUUCCUCUCACUUAGAAAGUCCAAUACCAAUUCUGAUUUUUUAAAAACGUUUUUCUUUUUGGAAGCUUUUUGGAUUUAGUAUUCUGAAACUCUAUUUUGUUGUGCCUUAGUAUGAACCUUUUCAUUUAAUAUGUUGAGUAUUUUGAGGGCCCUCUUAAAUUAUAAGGUCAUGUCUUACAGUUCUGAGAAAAUUUUGUAUGUGCGUGUGUAUAUACACACAUGUACGCACACAUAUAUUUUAAGUUUCCCCUCCUUUCUGUUUUCUGUGAUGUCUUUUUCUGGAACCUGUGUUCAUGGGAUGUUAGACUUGUUUAUCAAAUGUGGGAAGCUCAAGAUGAGCAAUGGGGAGAGUAGUAGGAGAUGAGGUCAGACAGCUAAAGGGGAAGGUGUGUACCAGCUCUUGUAGAGCCUUUAGGUGUCUGUAAGGACUUGGGCUUUUAAAAAAAAAAAAAACAACUAAUUUUUUAUUGUACUUUAGAUGAAGGUGUACAGAGCAAACGAAUAUCUCAGAAAUAAUCAGUACACAUACUGUUUUUUGACAUUGGUUGUCAGCCCCACGACAUGUCAGCAUUCCCCUUCUCAACCUUGGGUUCCCAGUCACCGGCUUUCCUAUCCCUUCCUGCUUUCUAGUCCUUGUCCCUGGGCUGCUGGGCCCAUUUAGUCUCGUUUCGAGGACUUGGGCUUUUUAAAAGUGAGAUGGAGAGCCAUGAACCGACUCUUAUUUUAAUAGGAUCACUCUUUAAAAGAAAAACUACAACUCUCAGCAUUACUGAAUAAGAGAUGGGAUUAUUUAAAGAGUAGUCAGAAUAGAAAUUUUGUAGGUCAGAAUGCGUUUUUUCAGAAGCUAGUAAAAUUUGUCCCUGGGUACUUACAACUCAAGUGGUAUGGUAGCUGUACUUUGUAAUUUUUUAGAUUAAACUUAAAAUAUUUUUAAUUUUUUAAAUAAAAUUUUUACGCAGAGUUUAUUUUUUGAGUAGCAUGUUUUAAUUUUAUUUAAUAUUGAAUUGUAUGUUUGAUAUUUAUUUUAAUAAGUUUACAUUUUAUUGAUAUUUUACAAUUAUACCUUUUGCAUUUGAGAUGAUUCUUUAGUUUUACUAAUUUUAAAAAUUGUUCAAAAUUUUGAACACUUUAAUUAAAAUGCCAAUAUUAAUACUCGUAUUUAGAUAAUAAAUGAGAAAAUAUUGGGACCCUUUUGCUGCAGGAUUUUAAGCACUAGAAUCAUUUUGUCAAAUUUUACCCACCACCAACCUUCCUUGGGGGGUGGGGAACCCUAUAAUUUUGAUCGAGUCUAUUGCAUUGAAUUUAUAGAUUGAGUAAGGGAAAUCUGACAUCUUUACAAUAUUGAGUUAUCUUUUCCAGGGACAAAUUCUGACUUCCUUACAUGUUCAGGUGUUUCGGCGGCCUUUUAAUGUUUUUUUUUUUUUUUUUUUUAAAUUUACCAGGUUCUCUACCUUUUCUGUUAGACUUGAGCAGCUGCUGGUUACAGGAUCAUUUUUCCACUGUAUAUUUGGAUUAGUUAGUAUUCAUGUGUAAAAAAGUGAUUGAUUUGUUUAAUUUUGUAAUUGGCCACUUUAUCGUAUUUUUCAUUUGAUUUUGUUAGCUUUCCUAGAUACACAAUAAUCACACUCAAAUCUCCUCUCAGUAUUUUCAUCUUUUUUUUUUUUAACCUGCGUACAUUGCCUAAUCAUUAUAAAACAGCAUUAAAUAAUAGCUAUUAUGGCAGGCAUGCUUGUUCUGUCACCUGACUUUAACGGGAAUACUUCUAGUUUUCACCUUAUUGGCUUAAUGUACUGUGUGUAUAUAAAAUCUUAAUAAAGAAACACAUAUACAGCGUAAUGUGUAUAUUAUGUGAUAUGCUUUUCUUAAAAAUGUUGAUACCAUAUCCACCUCUGCUUUAUUGGGAUUCUCUUAAUACCAGGAACGUACAUUGCGUUUAUGAAAACUCUUCAGCAACAAAAAUGAAUAUAUACCGUUUCUCCUUCGGUCUUAAUAUGAUGUGAUAGGUCAAGAGAUUAUUCCUCCCUUGAAUCUAUGGAAGAAUGACACCUUUUGAAUUUAUCAUUGGGUUAUACUUACUAAUAUUUUAUUUAAAAAAGGCCAUAUAGUGUGGAAGUUAAGUGCCUAAUCUCUGGAGCCUCAUAUGUGGAUUCAAACUGCAGCUCCCCUGUUAUCUGAUUUCUCUGGGUCUGUUUCCUCAACUGUAAAAUGGAGAUAAUAAACAGUUCUUAGCUCAUAGGGAGUGGGAAAUUGGUUGGUAGAAACAAGUACCAAUAUUGUGGUGUUUUAAAUAAAAAAAAAAAAAACACAAAACCAGUCAUAGGUUGUUAAAAUACUUGCGUAUUGAGUGGUAGUGCCCCUUUGCUUGGCUGUCACCCUUCUUCCUUGUGAACUAGCCACUAAAGGAGUAACGUGUGGGACAAAAGGAGGGUCCCGAGGAGCUCGCUGCAGUGUAGCCUGGCUCUGGCAUCGGCAUCCUUCGGAUUGGUCAGCGACUGUUCGGUACCAGGACCAGUUGCCAUAGAGUCCAUUUCAACUCUCGACGACACCCCUGUGUGUGAGAGUAGAACUGUGCUCCGUAGGUUUUUCAAAAUUUUACUGUGCUUUAGUUUACAGCGCAAGUUUAGUUUCUCAUUAAAAGAUUUAUACACUGUUUCCUGACGUUGGGUGCGAUCUGUGCAGUGUAUCAGUACUCUCCCCCUCUCCCUUUACGCCCUGGAUCCCCACGUCCAUUCAUCUAGUUUUCCUGUCCCUUCCUGCCGUCUCAGUCUUUGCUCUUUUGGGCAGGUGCUGCCCUUCAUAGAGUUUUCUUUCAGUGGCCGAUUCUUUUAGAAGUAGAUGGCCAGACCUCCUGAGAUGCCUCUGAAUGGGCUUGAACCUCCACCCUGUGGGUUAGCAGCCAAGCACAUUAACCGUUUGUACUGCUCCGGAGCUCCUGAUUGUUCCGUAUCUGCUGUUAAAUAUUUUGACUUUCACCCCAGCCAGUCAGACUGUUGUGAGAAUAAUGAGUUAAUGUAAGUACCUUGCCUCAACCAGUGCCUAGAAUAUAGUAAAUGUUAUUUAGUGUUUGUACUAUUAUUUCCAAGGAGCGCCUGGCGAAUUUGAACUGCCAGCCCUUUGGUUCACAGCCGUAGCACGUAACCACUGCGCCACCAGGGUUUCCUGAAAUUUUUCCUAUUAUUUAGAAUGUUUGCUUAGACUAUUCUUUGUGCUAUCAAUACAUGAAUGGCUUUAUGAAAUGAAUUAGGAAGCUUUCUUUUUUGUUUUAUAAAAACAGUAUGAAAAGACAUGAGACAGGUGUUUGGAGUGUUUGGAAAGAUAACUUUGAAAACUUACUCAACUCCUGGUGGCACAGUGGUAAAGAACUAUGCUGCUAACCAAAAGGUCGGCAGUUUGAACCCACUCCGUGGGGCAGUUCUACUCUAGCUAUGGAGUCGCUAUGAAUCGGAAUCACUCGAUGGCAAAGGGUUUUGGAGGUUAUUGAUGUUUGUUUUCUAAUUCUCCUUGAUUCCAUAUGACAAUUUGUAUUUUCCCAAAGACCAUUCAUUUUGUCUGUGUUUAAGCUUUAGUAGUUAAAGAUUUUAUUUUUUAGUUUAGGAUUUCCAUCUUUGCAUAGAAUAAUUUAGGGAGAGCUACUAUAUAAGUUUUCAAGUCCCCCCCAACAAGGGUAUUUUUUAAAUCUACUGUUACUAAUCUGUAGUUUGUUUAUUGUCAGAUCAUGGUCUAAUUAUUUAUAGUUUCUUGAAAAUUUUGGAGAUAUUGUGGCCUCAAGUUUUAAAACUGGCCCAUGGGAUUUGAUCUCAUCAUAUCAUAUGUUCAGCCAUGUUCCAUUUUGUCUGUUUAAUCUUUAAGGAUUGAAAAUGAUCAUGCUUUCUAUUAUUAUUUCUGUCCAGAUUAUCUUGUAUUUCUUUAAAGUUUUUGCUCUAUUUAAACAUAAAUUUUGGUGUAUGUAGGUUUAUAAAUAUUAUAUCUUCUUUAUAGCUUAUAAUCUUCAUCCUUAUAAAAAGUGACUCUUUUUGCUUCCUUAGUGAAUUUUUACUUUGAAUUCAACUGAUUUUAAAAGGGUGUUUAUACUUGCCUGAUACAUUUUUGUCUAACUUUUUACUUUUAAUCUCUCAAAGUCUGUUUUAGGUUUGUGUCAUGCAGACUCCAUGUAGUUGGCUCAAGGUUAGUUUUUUUUGGACCCAAUUUGAGAUGCUUUUAAUCAUUUGCAAUGAUGUUGUAUACUUGGUUUUGCUUGUUAUUUUUUUGUUUCCUGUCUUUCUCCUUGGUUGUUUUGUUUUUUUGUUUGAACUACAUUGCUUUUUCUUUAUUUGCUGUCCUUAUUUUGGAAGUUACGUACCAUAUUUCAUAACACGUAAGGCACCAUUGAUUAUAAGAUGCCUCAUUGUUUUGUACACCACUAACACGGUUAUACGUCGCAGAAGCUGUGACAUGCCAUUGCUCGUAAUAUGCAUGUCGAUUUCAGGCAUGUUACAGUGUGAAAAAAGUACAUCUUAGCAUAGAUGAAAUAUGGUAGCUUGCGUAUGGUUUUGUGGUUAUUCUUACAGCUUUAAUGUAUUGAAAUCUGUUAUAUUUAUCAAAUAGAUCUUUUCAGGAGUUUUUUUUUUUAAUCUAAGAGUUCUUGUGUGUUUGAAAAUAUCUUUUGGUGGCUUUCACAAGUGAGAUGGUAUUUUGUCUGGGUGGCGCAGUGGCUAAGAGUUCGGCUGCUGACCAGAAGGUUGGCGGUUUCAGUCCACCAUCUGCACCUUGGAAAACCCAGGGGGGCAGUUGCACUGUCUUACAGGGUCCCUGUGAGUUGGGAUCGACCCGAUGGUAACAGGUUUGGUUUUAUAGAACUUAGGGUUUUCAUCUUUGUUCCCUUAAGGCCCAGUAGACAUUAUUUUAUUAUCAUCUGGCGUGUAAGGUUACCGUCGAGAAGUCUGGGGCCAGCCUGACUGUUUUCUUCCCUUUGUAGGUGACAUGCUUCUGCCUGGGUAUUGGUAGAAUUCUUUAUUUAUCCUUGACGUUCAGUAACUUCAUCAGGAUAUAUCUCGGUCUUCGUGUGAUUCUCUGUUACAUUUUCUUGUUACAUGGUAAGCCAUUUCAAUCUGUGGAUUCAGGAAUAUUUUCUUAUUUAUCUUUUAAAAUGCUUUCAUUUUUAUUUUCUUUUGAAAGGAACGUCAAUUUUAUGAUUGUUACAUCUUGACUUCCUGUCUUCUGCUUAUUAUUUUUCUAAAUGCUUCCUUUAUUCCUUUCUGUUGUGUUCUGUGUAAUUUUCUCAGGAUUAUCUUAAAAUUGUUUUCAUCAGUGUCAGGCCUACUGCUUCCUAUAUAUAAUAUGGUUUUCAUUUUGCCAGUGGUUUCAGUAUUUUACUGAAUUUCUGUGUGUAUGUGUGUCUGUGAUCUACCCUUUCAAGUUGUCUCGUUUAUUUCCUUCUUUUUAAAAAAGUCUCUACUUAGGGUAAAAACAGGUAAAACCACAUUGUUGUUGAGAAGAUUGGUAAAACCAGUUGCAAAAACUACUGGUACCAAAAUUUAUUCUCCAAGGACACAAAACAGUUAUUGAAAUUGUUUUAUCAAGUCACAGUGUUAGAUGUUGUGUUUUAUUAAUGACAUGAAAUAGGAAAAGCUAUUAUUCAUUUGCAGACUUACAGACUUUUUUUUUUAAUCUUGGCCUUUUGUUUAUUUUAAAGGAGUCCUGGUGGUACAAUGGUUAAAGCGCUCGACUGCUAACCAGAAGGUCGGCGGUUUAAAACCACCAGCAGCUCCAUGGGAGAAAAAUGUGGUAGCCUGCUUCCAUAAAGAUUUAUAGCCUUGGAAACCCUGUGGGGUCAACUGUGAGUUGGAAUUGGCUCAUUGGCAGUAGGUUGUGGGUUUUGAGUUUUUUCGUUUAUUGAAAAGGCAGACCAUUCAUAUCUACAAUAUGUUAUUUGUGGAUAAGCGCUUCUCAGUAGGUUCUUUUAUUUCACAUUUCAGAAACAACUAAAAAAUUUUAAAAGGUUGUUUUCUAGUACAAAAUGCAGACAUCAUGAAAGCAAUAUUUGAUCUCAUAACACAUGGUUAAAUAUCAAUGUACCUUUGGUCCCCAAACCAAAUUUCCUAUAUAGUUUUCUUUGUUGACUAAUUAUGCUCUUUUCUGCAGUGAAUUUAAAAUCAGUAUGCAUCACUUGUUUAAUGGGGAAAUUUUUUUUUUCCCGUUUGAAAUAGUCUGUUUAUUCAGUAAAAUUAGAUGUACAGUGUUCCCAUUCCAAAAUGAAAAGUUUUUUUAUUUUAAAAUUGUAUAAGAAGCAUCUCCCCAAAUCCUAGUCAUCUUAGUUUUGAAAUAAUUUUUUCAAGCAUAUUUUUUCCAUUAUUUAUAAAAUUCAAAUAUUGAAAAGAACACUGCAUAAAAUAAAGGAGUUAAAUUUUUGCCACACUAAGGUUGGGGGAAAUAAUUGCGUUUUAUAACCAUUGCCAUAUUGGGAUGUAUCCCUUACCUUCAAAAGUAGUCUUUAAAUAACAACAUAUGAGUGGAGGUCGAUGUCUGAUUUUUCUCUGCAUGCUCAGCAUGAUCAUUUUUUUUCUCUUCAAUUUAGGGAAUAGUUUUUUUCCUUUGUGGUAACACACUUUUUUUAAGGUGUAAAUAAUAUAAUUUAUUUAAUCCAGUGUAUCCAAAAUAUCUCAAUAUGUAAUGGAUAUUAAAAUUAUUGAUUUAUUUUUCUUGAGCACUUUAUUGUGCUUUAGAUGAAAAUCAGAUGUUUCUUUUUGCAGUUGGAUAAACUUUUGUACACAGUAAUAAUCUAUUUUUAUCAUGUGUGCUUUGUGUUUGAGUGAGAAGUGCUCGAUGACUUUUUUUCUUUUAAUCAUUGGAACUCUAUUGAAGAUUGUUUUUAUUUAAUCAGUUGUAAUGUAGAUUGGAAAAUAUUCAUUAAAAUUAUUACUUACAGAGACUCUGCCAUUUGUGCCACAAAAAAGGAGCUGUUACAUGAAUUUUGCCCGAAUGCCAAUUUGUUCCUUGUUUUAUUUGGAAAAAUGUAGUUGGUCAAGUGUUUGAAAGGUUAGAGGAAAUAGUGAAAAUUAUAAAUGUGUGCGAAUUGUGGUAACUGAGAGACUUUCACUGUGCCUUGUAAAGAAAUAUUAGAUGUUUGCACUCUAAGGUAUCUUAGCUGUUUAGGGAACAGAUUUUCCCAUGAAUUUAUUAUUUCUUUAAUGCUUGCUGAGAUAAAAGCAUGCAUUAUGUUGUUACUGAUGUUGGUAAAGGUUGUGAAAAUUGUUUCAGCAGACUCACACAGAGUAGCUAGCAACAUGUUCAAGUAAUAUGGGUAAGCUGAACUUACUGUUCUGGGGCCUAAAAAAAAAAACAUAGCUUAUUCUCAUCAAUUAAAAUUGUGAUCAGAAUUUCUUAAGAGUACUAAACUCUUGUAUUUGAUUGUCAGUAAUGUGACUUAUUCCUAAUACAUAUUUUUUAACUAAUUCAUUUAACAGAUAUUUACUGAAGGCCUGUUACAUGCCAUGGACUUUAACAGGUUUUGGGGCUCUAUCAGUAAACAAAAAUCUAAGCUGCCUUAGAGCUUGCAUUCUUGUGAGUGUGGGGGAGAUAAAAUUAAUAGAGGAGUUGUGGAGUGCUAUGGGGAAAAUAAGGGUAAGAAAGGGGGAUAAAAUAGAGGAGUCUGUAAGGGUAUGGGUUUUAGAAUUUAAAGUAGCAUGACCUUUGACCAGAGGAUUGAGUUAGGUGAGAGAGUGAAUCGUGCAGAGGGUAAAGACAAGCACAAAGGCCCUGAUGUGUGAGGGUAGACCUGAAUGUUGGAGAUAGUGGUGGAAAAGCAGUUAGCUGAAGCCCAGGGAGUGAGGUGAAGAGUAGACGGCUGGAGAGAUGAGCUGGCUAAUUCUGCAGGACCUUGUAGGCCACUGAACCAUCCCUCAGGUCAUUAACUCUUGAGUGAGAAUGGGAAACCAUUGGAGUAGUGACCUGAUGCAACUUCACAGUUUUAUAAGAUCACUGCGGCUGCUGGGUUAAGAAUAGACACACCAUAAGAAAGCUAUUUUAUAUAGUACCCCAGUGUACACAUUUGAGUAAACAUUAAUAACUGAAAGAAAAUUUCACGUAUUUUUCUUUUCUAUUAGGAAAAGGAGAUGCUAGUUAUGUCACACUAGAUGCAUUUCAUGACAGCAUAACCUUUAGUUGAAAAACACUGUGAAAUGAGAUAUAGCUUCUGACUUAAUGGGAACUUUAGAUAUUUGUUGACUUUUGGCUAUGGCAGAUGUUUUCAGUCCCACUUCUCACUCCUGACCUUCCUCGUUCAACAGUCACUGGACUGGCGCCUCUCUGGGGUUCUGCCCAGAAGAUUAGCCUCUCUCCUUCGCUGCAGCCCCCUCUGUGAGUAUUCUGCUCUUCUGCUCCCUCCACUUUGCCUCAUCAGUUCACAUCUUGCAUCUGUUUUUCAUCUUUCAGAACCAUGGGUGAUCUACCUAUUCUUAAAAAAACUUUUUUUACUUUUUAAUUUCUUUAGAAAAAUUUAUUGAAUUAAGUUCUUUGGAGGGAGAGGAGGUGAACAGGUGCCCAUACGGGCACCUUGAACUGGAAGACAAAUGAGAUGUUCAGGCCAGAGUUUUUCAUUUUUUAAUAAAUAAAUAUGUGGAAUGUGUAUUUUUUAAGAGAGGAUAAUAUUUUAUCUUUUUUUAAAAAAAAUUGUAACUUUUCCAGUGUCAUUAAAUACACUUUCAAAAUAUUUUAAGUAGAUAUAUAGCACUUUUUUCGUAUACUGAUACCAUGAUAAUUCCCCUGUUUUGAUCUUUAGGUUGUUUUUGAAUUAUAACUUAUUUAAACUAUAGCUGAUGCUUUUGUGGAUUUUCCUUAUGAAAAAUAUUUCUACAUAAUCUUUGAUUAUUUCUCUUAGGAUACAUUUUUAGGAGCGGUCAUUACUGAGUCAAAGGGAAUGAACAUUUUUUGAGGUUCUUAAUAAUGACCAGUUGUCUUUUAGAAAGGUUGUACUAAUUUAUAUUCCCACAAUUUAGUGUGUUAAAAUGCCAGUUUUUACUAUAUUAUUACUACUCUCAGAGACUUAUAAAAUGGUUCGAUUCUAGUAGGUAAAAAGAAAUGAUUUUAUUUAAAAAAUUCCCAAUAAACUUGAACACUUUUUAUUUUUAUUUUUUUAAAUUAAUUUUUAUUGUGCUUUAAGUGCAAGUUUACAAAUCUGGUCAGUCUCUCAUACAAAUAUUUACAUACGCCUUGCUAUACACUCCUUAAUGAGACAGCACAGUCCUUCCCUCUACUGUCUCUUCUCCUGUCCAUUUGGGCAGCUUCUGGCCCUCUCUGCCCUCUCAUCUCCCCUCCAGACAGGAGAUGCCAGCAUAGUCUCAUGUGUCUACUUGAUCCAAGGUGACCAGUAUCACUUUCCACCCCAUGUUCCAGUCCAAUCCCUGUCUGAAGAGUUGGCUUUGGGAAUGGUUCCUGUCUUGGGAUAAGAGAAGGUCUGGGGACCAUGGCCUCUGAGGUCCUUCUAGUCCCAGUCUGACCAUUAAGUCUGGUGUUUUGUACUAUAGAAGGUAUUAAAUUAUUAGACAUUUGCAUGAAAGUGCUUUAUAAAGUGUAAAGCUUUUUAGACAUACAAGAUGCUAUUACUACCAGUAACUACAUUGCUCUUGGUAAUCUGGCUAAACUAGUCCUUCCACUCAAAUGCUAUGAUACAUAAGCUUUCUAUUAAUGAGUCAUGGAAUGUCCCCAGGGAACUUCUCAUUAUUUGGCAUAAUUCAUUAGGAACUAAUAGUGGCAAUAAUUUAGUCAUUUUCUGGGGAAAGAUAGCUUAUUUAAUUUUAAGAAAACCUUACGGACAUUUUAGGAUAUUUAUAAACAGCAACAUAGUGUAACUGUUAGAAAGCAUAUCUUUUAGAAAGGCUAAAUGGCAGGGGAGGACUAGGCAGCAUAGUGAAAAAAGUUACUACAUUGGGAAGGGAUAAAUUGCUUUGUGAACUGGCUACAAAAGCAGACCAGUUAUUUCUACUGUAUGUGCCUUUAACAAUGGGAAUAUUAAUUUAUUUGUACCUUAGAUGGUCUGCUACAUUAUUGGAAGGGAUUUCUGUAUUCUGUGGCUGAUGAACUCCUUAACCAUUGUAAGAGUAUCUUGAAUUUUCAAUGUAUUAAAAUCUUUAAACUAUGGAAAUAAUAGCGGAUUUCUGAGCAGUUGAUAAAUAGUGAAAGAGAAGACAGUUAUUCGUAUUUUACCUGAACACAGCUAUGGUACUUAUGGUUUUGGUGUAUUUUUUUUUCCCCUCCAACCUUUUUACAUGCGUUUGUUUAUACAUUUUGUAAUCAUAUGUAUGUUAACUGUGUUUAGUAAUGUAAAAUACUUGCCAUUUUGCUAUAUUGUUGCCUUCAUUGUCAUUUUUAAUAUAGCACAAGAGCUCAUCAAGUGGCAAUUAACGUAAUUUCUCAUUUAGAAUCUUCAAAAAGUUUUAAAUUCCAUUUUUCCAUGUAGGUAUUUACGUUUCCUUUAUAAAUUUGAGUAAGUAUAAAAAUAAUUUCAGGGUUGUCUCAUAGGUUCCUGGUACCUCAAGCAGAUAAAUUCUGCAGCAGUAGGGUAGGUAUUGAAAAGGGGGGGAUGAAACAGGAAGCAAAGAAGAAGCAUGACAGCAUCCUUUUAGUUUGUUCCACGACCUUCCUCUAGUAGUAGCCAGGGACCAGGGCAAUGAACUCAGAUCAAAAUCUUAGGUUUUACCGUAUCUCGUUAGCCGAAACAUUCGUUAAUUCAUUUGACAUUCAUUUAUUAUGUUCAUUAAGCCACCUAAUUUUUUAAUAUAGGGAAGAGUGUUUUGGUAUGCAUAAGGAACUAAAGUGCUUUUGCAACAAAUCCAAUAUGUCAGUAUUUUGAAGAGCACAGAAUGAUUGCAGCUUAUAUAUUGUGAAAAGUAUUUCCAGGUUUUUUUUUUUUUUUUUAAAUCAAGACCAGCCUGCCUUCAUGUGCUGGUUUUAGUUCUGGUUCUCAGCUGGGAGAACCAGAUGAGUCAUCAUGUUUUUAGUUCAGGCUUUGAGUUUUCAGCAUGUAAAAUGAUGGCUUACAACUCGGUGGAAUUUAAUUUUUUUUUUACAAACCUAGGAAGUCUGAUUCGGUGAUUCAUCUGGAGUUAUUUCUGCUAUGUGUGUCUUUAACAAUGAGAAUAUUGGCUUACCUGUACUUUUCUUGGAAACCCUGGUGGUACAGUGGUUAAGUGCUACGGCUGCUCACUAAGAGGUUGGCAGUUCAAAUCUGCCAGGCGCUUCUUGGGAAUUCUGUGGGGCAGUUCCACUCUGUCCUAUAGGGUCGCUAUGAGUCGGAAUCAACUCGACUGGCAGUGAGUUUGGUUUGGUACCUUUCUUGGACUACAGUGGGCCUUUCAUCUAAGGAAAGGAGAAAAGGAGAAGGGGGGGAGGGGAGGGCAGGUUUAUUUUCAAAGGUGACUUAUGUUAAGGAUUAAGGCAAGGAUGGCAAAUGCCUCAUCUUGUGUGCCAGGUGUGUUUGGCUGAUUGUAGUUGCUGAGUACUGCAUUGAGAGAAAUUUUGAGUUCCAUGGUUAGUUAUUAUUAAUGGUGCCUGCCUUGGGCAUGGGCCACAUUACAGACUUGAGUGUGAUUAAGAACAAUGGUAUAUUCAAUCUGUAUUUCAGGAUCUACCACCAGUGAUGUAGGAAGAGGCUUGGCUUCCAUUUGAGGUCCUCCCCUAUUAUCUAAUUUGUAUAUUGAGCCUUUUGUAUGUUUAAAGAAAAGAUUCAAUUGUUUAAAGGUCUCUCCCUCUUUUUUUUUUUUUUUUUUUAACUUUUCAGUCUACUCCAGCUUUUGUCUUUUUACUCUUAUGCUAUGUACUCACACAUAUAAAAUAAUGUGUGGGAAACCCUGGUGGCAUAGUGGUUAAGUGCUACAGCUCUUAACCAAGAGGUUGGCAGUUUGAAUCCGCCAGGUGCUCCUUGGAAACUCUACAGGGUAGUUCUACUCUCUUCUAUAGGGUCGCUGUGAGUCGGAAUUGACUCGACAGCAGUGGGUUUGGUGUAUGUGUGAUAUACUCAGUGUAGACCGCAUACAGUUUAGAGAGUUAUUAUAAAGCAAGUACUGUUUAACCACUACCUAGGUGAAGAAAUAGUUACUUGAAGUUUAUAACCACUGAACUGGAGCAUGGAUAAUUAAGUGAUUUUGUCGGUCAGAGUCAGAAUACAGAGCUGCGUUACUCAGGAUGCUCUGGGAAGAAUAGUAUAUUGAGUAUGUGUUAUUAGCUAGGGGCCCUGGUGGCGCAGUGGUUAAGAGCUCAGCUACUAACCAAAAGGCCGGCAUUUUGGAUCCAGCAGCCGCUCCUUAGACACCUGUGAGGCAAUUCCACUCUGUCGUAUAGGGUUGCUAUGAGUUGGAAUUGACUCGACAUCAACGGGUUUGGUUUGGUUUUGGUUAUUAACUACAGAUAAUCGGAGCCCUGGGGACAUGGCAGGACAAGAUUUCCUAUAGACUUCUAGCUACAGUAGUGUAGCUAGAGUAUGGGACCGUGAGUGCCCAUGCUGGAAAACACUUUACUCCAGCAACCAGUCUAAAUUUGCAGGCUGUUUCGCCCAGGAUUGGAAAAGGAUGAGAUUAAGAGUAAACUAGCUGCAAAGCAGUGUCUGAUAAAGCUGAGUCAUAUUGUAAGAAGACCUGAGCUGUUUGAAACCCUGAGUAAGUUGAUAAGGUUCCUAAUCAAUAUGAUCACACCCCAAACCCUUUACAUAAUUACAGUCAGGUAUGACUAUCCACUCGAAUAGCCUAGAUUUAAAGUCUUUUUGGCAAACGAUAGUGGUGCUUGGCACAUGAUUGGUGCUUAAAUUAAUAAAUGUUGUCGUUAGGUGCCUUCGAGUUGGUUCUGACUCAUAGUGACCCCAUGCACGACAGAACGAAACGUACUACCCGGUCCUGUUCCGUCCUGACAGUUGUUGCUACGCUUGAGCCCGUUGUUGCAGCCACUGUGUCAGUCCAUCUCGUGGAGGGUCUUCCUCUUCUACACUGACCCUUUACUUUGCGAACCAUGACGUCCUUCUCCAGGGACUGAUCACUCCUUACAACAUGUCCCAAGUAUGUGAGACGUAGUCUUGCCAUCCGUGCUUCCAAGGAGCAUUCUGGCUGUACUCCUUCUAAGACAGAUUUGUUCGUUCUUUUGGCAGUCCAUGUUACAGUCCGUAUUCUUCUCCAGUACCACAGUUCAAAGGCAUCAGUUUUUCUUUUGUCUUCAUUAUUCAUUGUCCAGCCUUUGUAUGCAAAACUAAUAAACACUUCCUGUAAUUCAGUAAGUGCUGCAUGAGGUGUGUUUAGCGUGGUUCUUAUUUAAAAGUUUAUACUUGGGGUUUAUGGAUUGUAGCAGUCAGAUGAAUUUUUAUAUCCCCCGCCGAAGUAAAUGACUCCUCUUGAGCAUCUUAUAAUUGCAUUAUAAGGACAAACAUGAAUUAAUUUAUAGCCAGAAUGUGCUAAAUUCUGUAGUAUAAAUAUAAAAUGCCAGGGAGCACAGAUGACAAGGGUAAUUUACAUGCUUGAUACGGGAUUUUUUUUUAGGAGGAUCUGAUACUUGAGCCAGGGUUUUAAGAUUUGGUAGGCUUUCAAUAAGCAAAGGUUGGUGGCUGGGUUGAAGCACAAAUUACUAUUUUAGAAUAGAGGAUCAGCAUGAGUAAAAGGCUAGGAUAUGGUUUAGGAAGAGGUCAGUGGUUGGGAGCAUGAAUAUCGCUGUGUGUGUGUGUGUGUGUGUGUGUGUGUAGUAAUGUGAAUAGUAAGAGAGAAAGAUGGAAAGAUUUAUUCUGAAGCCAGGUCAUAGAGAACUGUAAGUGCUGUGUUAAUAAAAAACUAUGUUUAAGAAAGAUUAAUAGUAGGUUGGAUUGUUGCAGGAAGAGACUGGACGUGGAAAUAUUGAUGAGUUGACUAGUUGGAUUUAAGGGGUGAGGAAGAGGGAGUGAUAGGUAAUGAUCACCAGGUUUAAAGGUUGGAUGGCUGAGGGGAAAUAAUUGAAGGAAAGCAGAAGAACAGGUCUGGGAGGGAGGGUAAGUUUAGGUUGAGGCUUUGGUAAGACAUCUACUGUUGGAAAAUGGGUUCUGAAGCUCAUGAGAGGUAAAUUUGGAAGUUAUCCACUGUAGGAGGUAGACUGAGCUUUGGGUGUAUGCAAGAGCCUAGAGGAAGACUGAGCAAGUAGAAGGCUAUGUUUGGAGGGCAGGCGGAGGAAAGUGAACCACUGAAACACUGAGAAGUGGUGUUCAGAGAGUCAAGGGAGAGCUAGGGAUGAAAGAGGAGAGUCACCAAAGCCUGACGGGGAAGAGUCUAAAGGGAAGUAGGAGGAAGUGGAAUUCAUGGACCCAGAGUGUGUCCUGGGGUGUGAGUGAUUUAGGGAAGUAGAGGAUGAGAAGAAUUUAGAUAGAGCUAGAUUUUGGAGGGAGGGGCUUUCUAAUGCAUUUACUUACAUACCAUGACAGAGUAGAUGAUCCCAAAAGCUUUGGAGCAAGGAAGAUGAUGUGAUAAAGGUGUUGCUUAAAUAUACGUUUGUUUUUUGGGUUGUUGAGUUGUUGGACUAUUGUUUUUCCCUAUCUUAUUCUGAAAGGUUUUAUAGUGAUGAGGAUUUGUGGAAUACAUAAAUGUUCACCUGCCCUCCCACUUGAGGUUUUACAAACUAACAUCCCUCAUCCCCACACUAUAGCCCAGUCUUUCUCUUUGCCCAUUAUCCUGUUCAUGAGCUAUCCUACAAAACAACAGAAUAAAACAACAACAAAAAAACCCCUGCAGAAUCUUGUUAGUAUUCCCUUUGAUAGUGAUUACACAUCUCAGCAUAACGAGAGACUGUACUUACAUUGAGACUUUGCACGCCAUGUUUCUGCUCAUGCCAUGAUGGCACCUGGUUGCAACAGCAUUUAUUUUGUCAGAUGGUCUAAAGCUUUUUUUUUUCCUUCAAAGAUUUGGUAUUGAGUCUUUGUAGUUCCUUUUUUUUCUCUGCCUCCCACUAAGGAUGAGCUUCAAGUUAAACAAGAUUCUUGGUUAUAGAAGCUCUUCAUUAUGUAGUGGUAAGAUUUUUUUUUUUAAAUAGUAUUUUAUUGUGUUGUUGGGGGAAGUUUACACAGCAAAUUAGGUUCCUAUUUAACAAUUCUACACAAAUUAUUCAGUGACAUUGGUUACAUCUUCAUAGUGUGCCAACAUCCUCAUUAAUUCAGUUCUGGUUGUUCUGUUUCCAGUAGUCUGGUUUCCCUGCCCCCUUACCUUCUCAUCUUUGUUUUAGGGUAAUUGUUGACCAGUUGAUCUCAUUUGGAUGAUUUUUUAAAGGAGUGCAGUACUCAUGGGUUUUAUUCUUUAUUUUACGAACCACUCUGUUAUUUAGCUAAAAGUAAUCUCAGGGAACAGUUUCGGCUCAAAGUUUAAGGAGUAUCUCAGGGUGAUAACCUCAGGGUGUCCUCCAGUCUCAACCCAUCCAGUUAAGUCUGGACUUUUUCAGAAUUUGAGUUGUGUUCCACUUUUCUCUUUUUCUGUCAGGAUCCAUCUCUUGUGACCCUGAUCAGAACAGUUGGUAGUGGUAGCCAGGGCCACCCAUAUAUAUACUCAUGUAUAUAUAUAAACGUUUUUUUUUUUUUUUUUGGUAUACCUGUAUAUAUUCCCAUACAUAUAUGUAUACACAUAUGUAACCACACACAUUUUUUUUUAGUUGUUGCUGCAAAAUUAUGUAUGUCUUACCCUUUACCAAAAAUGUCCUUUUUGCUCAUGUAUUUAUUAGUGGCAUCAUUUACCUUGGUCAAACCGUAUGCACUUCACCCAUAGUGGUAAGAUCUUCAGUAUCUCCACUGUCCACUCAGUUCAGACUCCUCAGCCAUAUUUAAGAAUUUUUGGAAGUUAGCAAUAUAUUUUUUAUGUGCUUCGUUCAUUGUUCUGAUGAUUUCAAGUACCUUAGUAUCAGCACUUCCUUAAAAUCCAUCAUUAAAGCAGUGACGCCUUCAUCAGCAUCCUGCACCAGAAAUGUCUCAUAGGUUGUGAUGGGUCCAUUUCUUGCUUCAUAGGCCACAACAAUAAUGCAGUGUUAGGAGACAGGAGGCGCCGUGGUGGCGCAGUGGUUAAAGUACUCGGCUGCUAACCAAAAGGUCGGCAGUUUGAACCCAGCAGCCGCUCCGUGGGAGAAGGGAUGUGGCAGUCUGCUUCCAUAUAGAUUUACGGUCUUGGAAACCCUAUGAGGCAGUUCUGCUCUGUCCUAUGGUCACUAUGAGUCAGGGUCCAACUCCACAUAAUAAGGAGAUAGAAAGACUACCGUACUUAAUAACACUGGAGGCAUGUCUAAGACAUUUGCUUUAUCCAGAGAGCUUUGCUUUCCCUCAAUGUAUAUUCCUUGAUGACAUACAUAGCUCCAGAUACCUCUUUCUUUACCCAGCCAAUUCUAUUUGGACCCAUAUAAUAGGCAGUGCCCUCUUCAACACUGUCUUAAGCAUCAUGGGGUUUUUAGAGUAAACCAACAAAGGCUUUAGUUUAACAUCUCCUUCAGUUUUUCCAUAUAAAAACAGUGCUGGCCUGAUAACGUUUUUCUUAUAUGAAAUCAAGUAUAAGGUGGCAUUCACUUCCAAAACAGUCCAUUUUCAUUGAAAUUAUACAUUUCAUUUUCAGUAUCACCAUUUUAGAGAUUAGACACUUGUCAGAUGUGUUAUUGCCAAAUUUUUUCCCCCAGUCUGUAGGUUCUGUUCUUAAUCUUUUGGGGAAGUCUUUUGAUGAGCCUAAGUAUUUAAUUUUAGGAGGUCCCAGUUAUCUAGUUUAUCUUUGGUAACUAUGUUUGAUAAUCUAUUUAUGCCAUAUAUGAAGGUCCCUAGUUUGUUCCUAGGUUUUCUUCCAUGAACUUCAUAGUUUUAAAUUUUAGGCCUUUGAUCUAUUUUGAGUUUUUGUGUAUGCUGUGAGGUAUGGAUCCUGUUUCAUUUUUCUGCAGAUGGAUAUCCAGUUUCACCAGCACCGUUUGUUAAAGAAACUGUCUUUUCCCAUUUAAUGAACUUCAACCCUUGGCUGAAAAUAGGUAUCAAUAGGUGGAUUUACUUCUGGGUUCUGAAUUCUGUUUCAUUGGUCUGUGUGUCUGUUGUUGUAUCAGUACCAGGCUGUUUCGACUACCGUGGGUGUAUAGUAGGUUCUGAGGUCAGGAAGUGUGAGGCGCCCUACUUUUUUCUUUAAUAAUGCUUUAUUUACCGGGGAGCCUCUUUUCUUCCCAUAUAAAGUUGAGAUUAGUUUUGCCAUUUUGUUAAAGAAUGUUGUUAUUUGAAUUGGGAUUGCAUUAUAUCUAUAGAUUGCUUUGGGUAGUAGUGAGAUUUUCAUGAUGUUAUGUCUUCCUAUCCAUGAGCAUGGUAUGUAUUUCCAUUUAUGUACGUCUUUUUUCAUUUCUUGCAAUAGCGUUUUGUAGUUUUCUUUGUAUAAAUGUUUUACAUCCCUAGUUAGAUUUAUUCCUGAGUAUUCUUUCUGGGUGCUAUUGUAAAUGGCAUUGUUUUCCUCAUUUGCUUUUUGGGGUUUUCUCUGUUAAUAUAGAGGAAUCUCACAGAUUUUCUUAUGUUGAUCUUGUGUCCUGCCACUUUGCUGACUCUUUCUGUUAGUUUCAAUAACUUUCUUGUGGAAUCUCUGGGAUUCUCUGUGUAUAGGCUCAUGUUAUCUGCUAACAGGGAUAAUUUUACUUCUUCCGUACCAAUUUGGAUGCCCUUUAUUUCCCUUUCUUGGUUUAUUGCUGUAGCUAGGACUUCUAAUACUGUAUUGAAUAAGAGUGGUGAUAAAGGGCAUCGUUGUCUGUUUCCUGUUCUCAAGGGGGAUACUUUCAGUCCAUCUCCAUUGAGAAUAAUAUUGGCUGUUGGUUUUGCAUAUAUGCCUUUAAUUUUGUUGAGAGUUUUUAUCAGGAAAGGGUGUUGGAUUUCAGUAUUACCAUCUUUAUUAAUAGUUUUCUGCAAUUUACUGGGGAAAAUUUGUUGCAGCUCACUAUCAGCAGUAGCUGUCUUACCAGUGACACUUAAUUUAUGCAUUGCUGCACUGUUCUUAGACCUCUCAAACAAUUCAGGGCUUGCUGUGCAGCCCACCUUUUCCACUGAAUCCUCCCCUUCCUCCAUUUCUAGCUUCUUCAUAAUUUUGAAAAAUAAUAAAUGCCAAAGGAAAAGUGCCUAUUGCAUAGUCUUGAGUGGUAUUCAUAUUAUCGUUAUAAAUCUGUUAUACAAAAUGUUUGUCUAGUUUUCAGAGAAACACCGUGCCAUCCCACAUAACUAAUACUACCUUUAGCAUUUUUAUUUUUCUUAUAUAGAAACUAUCUCAUGUAUGUAGAGGGGGAUGUGCUUAUAGUCAAAUUCCUGUCUUUUGGUUCCAUUCUCUAACUUUAUCAUUUCCAGUUUUUCUCUUGUUAUGUAUGUGCUUUCCUAGGCCUCUUUUUUAGGCUUACCUGUAUUUUCACAGGACAUCUCAUUUUCUUAGCCAUUUUUACUUAAUGUGGUAAAGAUGAUCAUAGUACAGCAAGCCUUUCAAUAAAGGUUACAUUGCAUACACCAUUUCCGAUCAGGCAACAGGAUUCCCUCCCUUUGCUAGUGCGAUUAUAAUGAGAAUAAAGUAAAUAGCGGCUAGGUUUAGAGAAACAAUUUAUAAGUGCCACCUUAGGGAUAGGUUUGAGGAGGAGUUUAAGACAUAAUGGGAGGUAUAUCUGAAAGCAGUCUGUCACUUCUGUUUCCUACAAUCACAUCUCUUACUUCCUUGUCUGGGAGAAAUCUCAGAUUAGAACUGACAUGGCCUGCUGCUUAGAUUCUUCUUUCUGCUGAACGCCGAGAGGGGGUUGGGCCUUCUUCACGGGAAGUAGCGGAAGAACAAUGAGGACUCCACGCUGUGUUUUAAUCUGCAUUUGUGAGGUAGAACAUCUUAUGUUUGUAUUACCUGUUCCAGAUUUUAACUUUGUGCAUUUCCUUUUUUUUCUUUACAUGAAUCUGCUUUUUAUACAUGUACUAAAAGUAUCAGGUGGAACCAGUCUCUGGAAAAGGACAUGAUGCUUGGUAAAGUAGAGGGUCAGUAUGAGUUGGAGACGACCUGCUGGCACCUAACAACAGCAAAAACCAUAUGGCAACCCCAUGUGUGCAGAGUAAAACUGCUUCAUAGGGUUUUCAAGGCUGUGGCCUUUCGGAAGUAGAUUGCCAGGCCUGUCUUCUGAGGCACCUCUGGGUGGGUUCGAACUACCAACCUUUUGGCUAGUAUAGUAGUUGAGCACUUACCUGUUUGUGCCACCCAGGGACUCUGCAUACAUGUACUAAAAGUAUAUUAAUACUUUGUCAUAUGUUAGAAAUAUUUCCCCCUGUCAUUCAAGUUGUUACAUUUCUUUGUACACAAAGCUAUCAUUCUGACUUAAUAUGACUUGACUUUCCUGUCAUGCUUAGUCCAGCCAAAGAAUAUAAAAAUAUUAAACUAAGUUAUUUUGGUAAUAUACCUAGAAGUAAUUUUGAUGUGUGAUGUGAUAAAAGUUUUGGAGUUGCUCACCUUCUUCCAUCCCUGUGCCUGCCAUUCCUCAUAAUUCUGUACAUUCCAAAAGAUUUUGUUCUUAUCUAGCAUGUUCUAUUCAUAUCUUUAUUCUGAUACUUACCCACAUUAUUUUAAUUAUUCAACUGUAAAAAUUGUAAAGCUUCCAGUUUCAUUGUGAGUCUUUUAAAGAGAGCACAGAAAAUACACUUUGGACCAAUCCCAGUAUAGAUCAGUAGAGUCUCGGCAAGUUGAAACCAGCAGAAUAGUAGAUGACCAGUGGAAUUCUGUUCAGGAAUGCAGAGGAAAUGGACUCCUCCUCCUGCUGCUGCCGCACCGCAGUAAUUCCAUUAAAGAAGAUUUGAGCUCGUGCCUGUGGAUCGGUGGUAAAUCUACAUAUGCGUCGAAAAGGCAUUUGAAAAAUUCAGCUGCCAUUUCUGACUUUAAGAAACAAAAGGAAACAAAAAACUCCAAACCCUAGGAAAAGAAUAAAAUUUCUUCAGUGUGACAAAAAAUAGUUACUGGAAACCAGAGUAAUUAUAUAUAUUUAUUUGUAUUAUAUAUUUACAAUAUAUUUAAAUUAAUAUGUAAUUUAUUAAGUGAAAAAGAUUCCUUUUAUAUUACUACCGUUGUUUGUAUUUUUUUGGUAAAGUUCUAGCUAGUGAAGAAAAACGAGAUAAAAAGCAAGACACAAAUAAUAGAAACGAAGAAAACAAACAACUUGCUGGCACUAUGGUUAUCUACUUUAAAAGUCCAGGAUACUUUUCAGACAAAGAUUGGAUAGGCCUAUAAAACAAAAAAUAACACAUAUGAGUAGUGUGCUUUUUAGUUCAGUCAAAGAUACGAGACCAAAUGGGCAACUCCUGUCUAAAAGCAGAACGAGAAGGCAGGAACGGACAAGAACUGGAGGAAUGGACACAGGGCACCCAAGGUGGAAGGGGGAGUGUGCUGUUACGUUGUGGGGAUUGCAGCCAAUGUCACGAGACAAUAUAUAAAUUUUUGAAUGAGGAGUUAACUUGAGCUGUAAACCUUCACGUAAAGCACAAUAAAAUAAAAAAAAAUAAAAAAA